AGAGCCCAUGGCAAAGUGUCUUCCUUCCUCAAGUACCAAGCAGUAGCAAGUCAGCAGGCUAUCUGUUAAGAUGAAAGCAUGUAGUCCUAGACCGGAAGACCAUAGUGGACUGAAAGUCAUUUCAGUAAUUAGCAAUCGUACAGUGUCUGUAAGAUGUUGGAGCGAAACAAACAAGUGGGGUGCGUUUCUGUUAUUUUCGAUUUAAUUAUCAUGGGUCAAGUAGACAACAGUUUCAUGGGAGGAAAUGGCACUGCGGCAUGUUCUUGGUUGAAGUCACCCGUGUGUGAACCUCCUCCAUGGCCACUAACCUCAAAUGGUUCAUAUCUUCCUUUGAGUUGGCGUGUGUUGGAUUAGUUUUCCAGCGACGUCUCUUUGAACUCUAGGAUUUCGAAAACCUAGAGAUAGGGCAAACACAUGAAUCGUGUGUCAUGUCAUUUGUCAAUACUACAAGAUGGAAGGAGGCAUGCUUUUGCACGUGAAGACAUAUAAUUUCUUAAACAUAUUUCUUAAACAUAUAAGCAUGUGCUUUGGAGCGGAUAAAAUUAUCCUACCAAAUUCCGUACAAAUAAAUUCUAUAUUAAUCGCAGUCCUAUGAAUUGAACAAUAGAAAGAAAAUCUUAAAGAUCAGAGUGCUCCAUUCAUUUGGUUCCUUUGACGAGCUGCAUGACGCGGCAAAGUCAACUACUGCUGUAUACAGGCUCCGUCGUCAAGCUGAGUCCACGUGGAAGCUCCUUAUCGACACAGAUAUCUACAUUCUCAGACCUCUCUCGUCCACCGCCGCUGCAGCUGCCCUGCACCCAUGGACCACGUGGGCACAACGUCCUGGCUGGUCCAGGCGGUGCUAGAGAAGUUCGUCAGCGACGACCUCGACGAUGCGACGCGCGGGGCCGACCCCGACCCUGACCCACGCAGCGAGGCCCUGCUCGGCUCUAUGAGCCGCCUCCACGGGCUCGCUAAGGACGCCGACAACCGCUUGAUGCUCUACCACCAGAUCCACGCGAACUCUAUUCGGAUGAGGAUAGUGAACAUCGGCAGAUCAAUGUUUAGAGGCGAGCUUAUGAUCUGUGAUGGGCGACUAGAAAUGUUUCGAGACAAAAAACUGCAGUUUUGAAGGUAUAGGACUAACUUGACACACUUAAUAGUUAUACGACGGUAACUAGCUAUCGUACAGUGUCUGUGAGACAUUGGAGCGAAACAAACAAGCGGGGUGCAUUUCUGUUAUUUUCGAUUUAAUUAUCAUGGAUGAAGAAGACAGCGGCUUCACGAGAGAAAAUGGCACUGCGGCAUGUUCUUGGAUCACGUCGCCCGUGUGUGAACCUCCUCCAUGGCUACUAACCUCAAAUGGUUCAUCACGUCCUUUGAGUUGGCGUGUCUUGGAUUCGUUUUUCAGUGACGUCUCUUUGAACUUUAGGAUUUCGAAAACCUAGAGAUAGGGCAAACACAUGAAUCGUGUGUCAUGUCAUUUGUCAAUACUACAAGAUGGCAAGGAAGUCUGCUUUUGCACAUGAAAACAUAUAAGCAUGUGCUUUAGAGCGGAUAAAAUUAUCGUACCAAAUUCCAUACAAAUAAAUUCUAUAUUAAUCACAGUCACAAUAUAGAAAGAAAAUCUUAAAGAUCAAAGUGCUCCAUUCAUUUAGUUCCUUCGACGAGCUGCACGAUGCGGCAAAGUCAACUACUGCUGCACACAGGCUCCGUCGUCAAGAUGAGUUCACCGGUAACGAGUGGAAGCUCCUUAUCGCCAUAGAUAUCUACAUUCUCAGACCUCUCUCGUCCACCGCCACGGCCGCUGCCCUGCACCCAUGGACCACGUGGGCACAACGUCCUGGCUGGUCCAGGCCGAGCUAGAGAAGUUCGUCAGCGACGACCUCAACGAUGCCUGGACCCCGACCCAGAGGCAACAUCCAUUGGCUCUGCUCCGGCCUGCAAGGCAUCCCCCUCGUCCUCUCCGCAACCUAGGAGCAUGUGCCCAGGGCACGUACCGAGGCCGUCCUCGGCUCUAUGAGCCGCUUCCACGGGCUCGCCAAGGACGCCGACAACCGCUUGAUGCUCUACCACCAGAUCCAUCGCCAACUCUAUUUGGAUGAGGCUAGUGACAUGUCGACAGGUCAAUGUAUUGAGGCGAGCUUAUGAUCUGUGAUGGGCGACUAGAAAUGUUUUGAGACCAAAAACUGCAGUUUUGAAGGUAUAGGACUAACUUGACACACUUAAUAGUUAUACGACUUAUGAUGCAAUUUGCUCCACUUUGCAAAGCUUGAUCGCCACAUACUAAGCCAUUAUUAAUGACCUAAAAUGCCCAUCACAAAAUGGUUUGAAGCCCCGUUCAAAUGUGUUUUGUCUGUUCCUGACAUGGACGACUGCUCUGAUGAACAUUUACAUAUCCACGGUCAGGCCUCUCAAGCAAAGAAGGUGUCCGUCACGCUCUUCAUCUUGUACAAGUAUAGUAGAUGCACAUGUUUCACGUGAGAUCCUGCUGUUGCUAGGUGGUAUCCCUCAGUGACGGUUAAUAUCCAUGCUCCGCUUGUUAGUUUGGCAAAAAUGGAACUUUCCUGAUUAGACGUUGUCAGGCCCAAAUGCAGCUGCCCGUUUAAUUAUUCUAGUAGAAGUCACACCUUUGUUCAUGCAUUCUUCGUGUGACAAGAAAGAGAAACAAUUCAUAGCAUUAACAUAUUAUAGUCAUGCCUACAUGCAUGUCGACCGGAUGAUCUUGGCGUGUAUAUAUGCAGCCCAUCGCAAAGUGUCUUCCUUCCUCAAUUACCAAGUAGAGUAGUAGUAUGUCGAAAGUGUGUAGCUUUAAAUGAAAGCAUGUAGUCCUGGACUCAGUAAUGGACUAGAAGACAUUCCAGUAAUAAGCUACCAGUACAAUUAUGAUGAGAUGUUGAAGAGAAACAAACAGACAAGUUGUUUUCCAAUAAGUUUAUAAUUACUUAGCAUGCAUGGAGUAUGUAAUAAGCCAUUUUGAUCCCAGGAGACUCCUAUGGAGGAAGUGGCGUGGGCGGCUGAAUCCGGAUGGCUCCACCGCACAACAACAGUUAUAGUGGUCAUCGUGCUCAUCUCCUUGCUCGGCCUUCCACGAGUACAGGUGUCGCCGAAAGAUCAAGGUGAAAUUUAUGUCAGAACAUGAGCAGUAAAACAAGAUCAGACUUCAAACAUGUAACGUAGAUGGACUCAUAAGCGACUAGGUUCAGAACUAGUUUUGACAGCAUAAGUUCAAAAUUCAAUUCGCGGGUUGUACAUCAGCUUGUAACGUAGAUGGACUCAUAAGCGACACUGCUGUACGAGGUGUGCAUAGUUGACCCCAACUUGUAACUUGGAAUAUAAUGGUCCCAUUUGUAUUCUUUUAGUGGGGACGCAUGCCUUUUUCCGUUUUCUAGGUUCCAUCUCCGUGAGAUGUGACUUGGAUUAGCAUAUCACAGUGAUUUAAGAUUUGCUAACUGUUCGUGUCCAACUGAUCUGGAUUAGUCCAUUCUGUUUCCUGCAGUUUUACAUUGCUCAUUUAUUUCAUUUUAAAAAUAAUUCUUCAUAAACAUGUAAAGUUCGACGUUUUUAGUUUAUGGAAUAAAGACAGAGAAUUAGCAAGUCAGUACAAAUUAAUAGAAGUGAUUCAUGCGAAAAGUGCUCGAUCCUGUUUGGGAACUCUUGCACUAUUGGUCAACAAACUAAGGUUAGAUCUGAAUUAUUGGUGGAUAACAUAAUUUUUGAAGAGAAUUACUUGGGCUGACGACCCAGGAUGGUCGUAUGACUAAGGGCAAGUUCCAGAAUUUGCAGUCCAGGUUAUCAAAACGUAUGCGUAUGAUGUUGUGGAGAUGCCCAUCCCAGGUUCUAAAGGAAACUCUCCCGAAAUAAAUAGCACGGGCAAUUCCGGCAUAUGUAAUGGUAUCUUCAAGUUACCCCUUGGAUGUGAUAAUUUAAAUGAGAUGAUCGGAUUUUUUUUCCAACCGGGCUCAUACCCCUUUUCAUUAAUUUUGCAAUCAACGAAAAUACAUCAGUCUGGAGAUGAUCAGGAAUUAUUAGUGGGGCUCGCAAAAAGAAGAAAAAAAAAUAAGCCAUUGAAAGUCGUUGGGGUUUAGGCAUUAUUAACUAGAAGCGCAUGAGCAUCGCUCUCCUCUCCAAAUGGCUUUGGCGCAUUUGUAACAAUGAGGGGGCCUCUCGUUAGACAUUAUCAAGGCCCAACACCUUCGUGGUCAACCCUGGCACUUUGCCAACGGUCUGGUUGCUCGCAAUUCUGGCGACCAGUGGUUCAGUUGAUGUUGGUGCUUCGCCUAGGUUCAUCUAUUGACAUGGGUAGGGAUGUAGAGUGGCACCCGAUCCGCCCCGCUUUCAAGUCAAAAUAUUUCAGGUUAGUUAUAAUUUUUUCACCGGAUUUACCUUGCUUUGAACUGAUAUUAUGUUAUGCGGGCUUAUGAGGAUGCCCGCCUACAUCCCAGACAUGGGCAUUGCGUCUUCUACCAAGUUCUAGUUGGAUCGUGGGUCGACAGCCAACCGUUGAGCAUAACUUUCUCUGGCCUCUUCUCAUUUGCAUCCCACCCAAAAUUUCGAUGGCGUAGGCCCUCCGGACUUCCGCCGACUCACAUUUCGAUGCUCCUUCCAUCCCUAGAGUUUGCAGACUGGGAUGAGUUGCUUGACUGCAUCGCCAUGCACGCCCCCGACAUCACACCUGGUCACGUCUCUUGGCACUUGAAACCUGCCAGACGCUUUACUACUAGGUCCCUAUACCAGCACAUCACCCAUUCGACAUGGGCCGAGGAUUUGUCCCAGGUUUGUACUGUAAUAGUUCUUCUUAAAUUUUGCAUUUUCAUCUGGCAGCUCAUUCGUUGUAGAGUACCUUCACCGGUGGAGGUCAUUAAGCGCAAUGGGACGAGCACCAUCUGUCCAUUAUGUUCGGUAGAGGAGGACUCUAACCACAUUUUCCCUUUCUGCGUAAUGGCUCAGCUUGUGUGGAUCCGGCGGGGCGGGGGGGGGGGGGGCAAAUCCAGACCUGCCCAAGUUCGGCGUCUAAUGUGCCUAGUCUUCGGCGGGUUGUCCUGGAUCCUUAGCCACGACUUUAAUUAGUGCCGCUUCAUUUUCAAUCCACGUCAUCAUUAUUUUUUUAAGGAGUGGUGGUGUUGGCAUAUUUGAUACGUCACUAAUAAUAGGUUACUCGUGGCGUGCAGCCUAAAGUUCACGCCUUUAGUAUUUGGGAUCCAACAGUCUUGCCCAGCGCAAGUUAUUUGUGGCGUGUGAAAAAAAACCACGCUAUUGAUACUAUAAUUAGUGGUUGAGUUAGUGAAUAGUUUCACACCACUAGUAAUCAGAACGGUCAGUUUAAAUUUUAAAAAAACACUAACCAGCUAUUGGUGUUGUGUGUGAAUAGUGCCACACCACUACUAAUAAAAUACAUGCAAUUUCUAUCUUCGUCACCAAUAACAUUAUAACCUAUCGAUGCAUUCUUCUCUAUCUCGCCCGCAACCCCUCAUUGCAGCAACCACAACAAGCACCUCACCCAACCAUCACCUUGUGAGCCUUCUCUAUCUCUCCCGCAACCCCUCGAUACAUCACCAACGUUGGACGACUCCAACGAGCCUCGACGGCUAUGGUCGGUGUGCAGCUCUGCGCGGACCUCGCCUGCCUUGAUGUGUCCUUGCCUCCGGCCAGAUCCACCACAGACGGCCUCCAGUGCUCGUGCCCAUCCCCUCUACGAUGUUAGGAUUUCAGGCACGGUGUCGCCUUCGUCGGCGGCGUGGCUUCGAUGUUCCUGUCGGCUCCUCUCGGUUGUGUACGACAUCUGAUACAAAAUUGCCAAGGUGAGCUCUUCACAUUCCUUCAUUCUCUGGUAGUGUUUAUACACCGUGUAGUCCGCUCAUUUCCAUGUUGAUGUUUAUGUAGGUGUCGAUGUACACCAUCUCAAAAUAAAGUCCUCUUUGUUCCUUCAUUCUUGGGUAGUGUGUGUACAUCAUAUGGAUGAAUGUAUGAUUUAUGUAACUGAUAUAUAUGAAUAUAUGGAUGAAUCACUAGUGGAAAACGGGCCUUUGGCCGGGACCCUUUAGUCCCGGCCUGCCUCUGGGCCGGGACUAAAGGCCCGGCCACGUCGCCCCAAUUCUCAAUGCCUCCCUCGAGGCUUUAGUCCCGGCCCGUAAGGAGCCUUUAGUCCCAGUUCAUGUCCCAAACCGGGACUAAAGGGCUACGCGGUGGGCAGCCCGCAUGUGCGCCACCUUUAGUCCCGGUUUGUAUCUCAAACCGGGACUAAAGUCCUCUGCCUAUAUAUAGCACAGCCCCCCUCUCCCCUCUUUUUUGCAUUUUUCUUGGAUGGAGGAUUGUGGGUGUGUGCUAGCUCUCCACUUUUUUUUAUGCACUAGAGGUGUUUGUUGAAAUGUGUGUUAGAGCGAUGCCGCUUUAGUUCACUGAACACAACUACGAUAUGAGAUGCCUGAGCCACGCUUAAACCUCUUCCUCUUUAUUUCUACUUCUUCUAAAAGGUUAGCAACUAUAUUUCCUCGUUUAGACCGUGCGGUACUAAUUUUUAGGAUCGUGAUUGUAUUUGAUAUACUAUCGUAUAACACAGAUGAGCCAUCCAUGGAUGUACGGUGAUCGACGCACAACCGCUUACAGAGAAGGCAUGCAUUCUUUUCGAGAUGCAGCCGAUGCGAACAAGCAUGGUGGUGGCUUUAUGUUUUGUCCAUGUGUUGAAUGUCGGAAUAAGAAGGAUUACACUUCCUCAAGAGUCAUUCAGAGCCACCUGCUUCGGUCCGGUUUUAUGUCGGGCUAUAAUGUUUGGACCAAGCACGGAGAAAGAGGGGUUAUGAAGGAAGACGACGAUGAAGAAGAAGAGAACGAUGAUGACAACUACCGAUCUAUGUUCCCUGAGUAUGCUGAUAUCGCAAUGGAAGACAAUGAAGAAGAAGAUCAGGAUGAAGAACGGGAACCAGAUGAGCCCGCUGAUGAUCUUGGCCGGGUCAUUUCUCAUGCACGGCGAGGUUGCGACACAGAAAAGGAGAGGUUGCAGUUCGAGCAGAUGUUACAGGACCACAACAAAUUGUUGUACCCAACUUGUGAAGAUGGCCACAAGAAGCUGGGUAGCACACUGGAAUUGCUCAAGUGGAAGGCAGAGACCAGUGUGACUGACUCGUCAUUCGAAAAGUUGCUGGUACUGAUGAAGAAGAUGCUUCCAAGAAAGAACGAAUUGCCCACCAGCAUGUACGAAGCAAAGAAGCUUGUCCGCCCUCUAGGAUUAGACGUGCAGAAGAUACAUGCAUGCCCUAAUGACUGCAUCCUCUACCGCGGUGAGAAGUACGAGAAUAUGGAUUAAUGCCCGGUAUGCACUGCAUUGCGGUAUAAGAUCGGAAAAGAUGACCCUGGUGAUAUUGAGGGCGAGCCACCCAGGAAGAGGGUUCCUGCCAAGGUGAUGUGGUAUGCUCCUAUAAUACCACGGUUGAAAUGUCUGUUCAGAAAUAAAGAUCAUGCAAAGUUGUUGCGAUGGCACAUGGAAUAUCGUAUGAAAGACGAUAAGUUGAGGCACACCGCUGAUGGUCGGCAGUGGACAAAAAUCGAGAGAGAGUUCCCGAGAUUUGCAGCUGACGCAAGGAACUUAUGGUUAGGUUUGAGUACAGAUGGCAUGAAUCCUUUUGGGGAGCAGAGUUGCAGUCACAGCACCUGGCCCGUUACUCUAUGUAUCUACAACCUUCCUCCUUGGUUGUGCAUGAAGCGGAAGUUCAUUAUGAUGCCAGUGCUUAUCCAAGGUCCAAAGCAACCCGGCAACGAUAUUGAUGUGUACACCGGAAGAUACACCGGAAGCACGGAAGAUACACCGGAAGCACGGAAGGACCAGGAACGUCAUAAAGGAAGAGAUGGCAUGAAUCCAGGACAGUUUCAAGGGCGUGCCAGCUACGCUCUUACUAAGGAAGAGAAGGAAAUCUUCUUUGAAGUCCUUUUCAGUAUCAAGGUCCCGACUGGCUUCUCGUCGAAUAUAAAGGGAAUCGUAAAUAUGAAAGAUAAAAAAUUCCAAAACCUAAAGUCUCAUGACUGCCACGUGCUUAUGACGCAAUUGCUUCCGGUUGCAUUGAGGGGAAUUCUACCGAAAAAUGUUCGCCUGGCAAUUGUGAAGGUAUGUGCAUUCCUCAAUGCAAUUUCUUAGAAGGUAAUCGAUCGAGAAAGUCUAUCGGCAGUUGGUUGUAGACACAUCUCAUGAAUGACGACACCGUUGGAGAUCAGCUGUACUGUUUGGCCAGGCCACCAUCUUCGACUAUAUGUACUUUCCAAGGGUAUGAGAUAAAUGGGAAUACAUUUUACACGGUUGCCCAAGAUAAAAAGAGCACCAACCAAAAUAGUGUUGUCCGCUUUGAUGCAACAGACGAGAAUGGGCACUGUUUGGAAACAUAUUACGGGUACAUAGAGGAGAUAUGGGAACUUGACUAUGGACCUACUUUUAAGAUCCCUUUGUUUCGGUGCAAAUGGGUGAAUCUGACAGGAGGCGGGGUAGUUGUAGACCAAAAGUACGACAUGACAACAGUGGAUCUCAACAAUCUUGCGUACAUGGACGAACCAUUUGUCCUAGCCAAUGAUGUCGCUCGGGUUUUCUAUGUGAAGGACAUGUCUACAAAAACGAGAAAAAGAAAUCAGCAAAAGAAGAUAUCGUCCGAUGAGCCAAAACGCCACAUAGUUCUUUCAGGGAAAAGAAACAUCGUGGGAGUAGAUGACAAGACAGACAUGUCAGAAGAUUAUAAUAAGUUUCAUGAAAUUCCGCCCUUCAAAGUGAAAACUGACCCAAGCAUCCUACUGAAUGAUGAAUAUUCUCCAUGGCUACGACCUAGAAGAAAACAGAAAUAAUAGAUAGGAAUAUUGGUGCAAUAAUGUAAUAAUGUAUUAAACCUUUUAUGUAAUGCAUGUAUGGAAUGUACUAAAUUUCAAACACUUUUCAUUUUCAUAGUUUUGUCAAAUUCCCAAAUACGCAAAAAGAAUUUUAAUAAACCUUUGUAAGAUAUGAGUUCUCGUUCGAAACCGUGAUACUUCGAGAGAGAUUGUCCGUUUUGUACACGAGGUGCAUCCAGUUUUUGUCGUAGCCCUCUCAAAUUUUUAACACAUGCUAUGUGGGUGAAAUGAUGAUAGCAUGCCAACUUUCAACAUUUUCAGAGUUCAUUUGUAGUGCUUUUCAAUUUCAGGGUCAACUAGCUCAAAAAAAAAAAGUAAAUGCACGAAGAAUACCAAAUGAAGUCAGAAAUUGUUGAAAUUUUGUGAUGUGCCUUUGAAUGGUGCAUUUUGAACAUACAAAAAGUAUGGAGUUCAAAUAAGUUCAAAAAAAUGAAAUCCCUUUGUAAGAGAUGAGUUCUCGUUCGAAACCCUGAUACUUCGAGAGAGAUUGUCCGUUUUGUACACGAAGUGCAUCCAGUUUUUGUCGUAGACCUCUCAACUUUUUAACACAUGCUAUGUGGGUGAAAUGAUGAUAACAAUGCCAACUUUCAACAUUUUCAGAGUUCAUUUGUACUGCUUUUUAAUUUCAGGGUCAACUAGCUAAAAAAUAAUAAUAAAGUAAAUGCACGAAGAAUACCAAAUGAAGUCAGAAAUUGUUGAAAUUUUGUGAUGUGCCUUUGAAUGGUGCAUUUUGAACACACAAAAAGUAUGGAGUUCAAAUAAGUUUAAAAAAAUGAAAUCCCUUUGUAAGAGAUGAGUUCUCGUUUGAAACCCUCAUACUUUGAGAGAGAUUGUCCGUUUUGUACACGAAGUACAUCUAGUUUUUGUCGUAGCCCUCUCAACUUUUUAACACAUGCUAUGUGGGUGAAAUGAUGAUAGCAUGCCAACUUUCAACAUUUUCACACUUCAUUUGUAGUGCUUUUCAAUUUCAGGGUCAACUAGCUCAAAAAAAAUAAGUUAAUAGUUUGGAUAGUCAAAAUAAUUACUUUUGAAAAUAGAAAAUAGUUUUGCAUUAUUUAUUCAAUUUCAAACACUUUUCAUUAUCAUAGUUUUGUCAAAUUCUCAAAUAUGCAAAAAGAAUUUUAAUAAACAUAGUUUUUAAUUGAAAAUAACAAAAUAGUUAAUAGAUUGGAUAGUCAAAAUAAUUACUUUUGAAAAUAGAAAAUAGUUUUGAAUUAUUUAUUCAAUUUCAAACACUUUUCAUUAUCAUAGUUUUGUCAAAUUCUCAAAUAUGCAAAAAGAAUUUUAAUAAAACAUAGUUUUUAAUUGAAAAUAGAAAAAAAAUUGAAACUAUAUGAAAAUUUGUAAAGAAACUUAAACUAAAUUCAAAGUGAGCUCACUUUGAAUUCAGGUUUAAGUUUCUCCACAAUUUCAAAUAUAGUUUCAAUUUUUGAAGUCAGUUUAGGCCCGUAAGCCUGCUUUAGAGAGGAGCUCGAUGGAGUAGCUGUGACGGGGCUUAUAAACAAGUGUUAAUCCCCCUCGCUGGGCGAGGUGGGACUAAACUUAUCAUGCAGGCGAGGAGGGGCUUUAGUCCCGGGUCGACCCGGGACUAAAGCCCCUCGCCUACCACCUGCCAGGAGGGGCUUUAGUCCCGGUGCGUGGCUCCAACCGGGAAUAAAGGCCCCUACUUCCCGCCUUCUGGUCUGCCCGAAAAAGGGCCUUUAGUCCCGGCUCGUGGCUCCACCCGGGACUAAAGGGGGUCUUUAGUCUCGGUAGGAGGCACGCACCGGGACUAAAGAUCCACCUAUAUAAGCGGGACUUCGAAAAAUUUCAACCAAAAUCGUCCAUUUCUCUUCUUCUUCCUCUCGUUCUCCUGCCUGGCGCGGCACAACGACGACCUCGACGACGCCGUCAGGCUGCCCGUCGUCCUCCUCGCCGCCGCCUGCCGUCCUCCUCGUCGUCGCCGUCGUCCUCCUCGCUGCCGUCGUCCUCCUCGCCGCGCGCCGCCCUCCUCGCCGCACGCCUCCGUCCUCCUCGCCGCGCGCCGUCGACACCUCCGGCCGGUAAGCCCCCGCCCCCUCCUCUCCAACACUCCGACCAGUAGAAGAAAAGAAGAAAAAGGAGAAGAAAAGAAGAAAAAGGAGAAGAAAGGAAGAAAAAGGAGAAAAAAGGAAGAAAAAGGAGAAGAAAGGAAGAAAAAGGGAAGGAGAAGAAAAGAAGAAAAAGGAGAAGAAAGGAAGAAAAAGGACAAGAAAGGAAGAAAAAUUAGAAGAGGAGGAGAGGAGAAGUAGAAAAAGAGAAGAGGACAAGUAGUAGAAGAAGAGGAGAAGUAGAAGUAGAAGAAGAGGAGAAAUAGAAGAAGAGAAAAAAUUAGUUUAGGGUUACAAGAAGGAGAAAUAUUUUUUUUGUCAUUUAAUUUUGCUAUUGUAUAGUGUAUAUGCUUAAGUGUUAAUAGUGUUUCUUAGAUUAUUGCUUAAUUUUGCUAUUGUAUAUGCUUAAGUGUUAAUAGUUUAAUUUUGCAAUUGUAUAUGCUUAAGUGUUAAUAGUUUAUUUUUAGCAAGAAAAUUAAGAGAACUAGUUUAUUUUUUUAGUUCAUUUUACGAUGCCUAUCCCGCAUCCUCGUCGUCGACUCGGCGGAGGACACCUGCUUGAUCAGAGGGGCCUUGUCCGGGACUGGGCUCCGCCCGGCUGGUAUUGGGAGGUGCUACCUUCCGGGGUGCGUAGGUUGGUGAGGAGCCAGCCGGUCGUUGACCCGAUCCUUGUUUGGUGGCGGUUGCGUGGGCCAGUGAGGGUGCCGAGGCUUCCGGACACCGCGGAGGUGGUACGUCACCGUGUCAGCGAGGAGGAUGAACACGUCCGUCGCUACAUGGUUGCGUUGGAGGGCAGGUUCGAGCAUACCUGGUAGGUUCUUCGGGGAUCUCACUAGAGCUAUGAUCCUGUGAUGGUUCCUUCUCUUUGGGUGUCCACCGCCCGCGCCGAUACCUGUGGGGCGCUACGGUUCUAGAUGUAUCAGUGAUGCUAUAUGUAUGAUAGUAUUCGAGGAGUAUUAGUGAUAAUAUUCGACGAUGUACGGACAAAAGUGAUGAUGUAUUAGCUUAUAAUUGAAUGCAUGCUAAUUUGAAUACUACUUUAUUUUACGAUUUGGUUUUGCUUAUUGAAUGCUAAAAUUGGAAAAGUACUCCUACUUUGAAUACUAUGCAGAAAUCUAGGAAUCCCGGGUGGAGCCACGACCCGGGACUUAAGUUGUUUUGGAACGGAGUUCCUGAUAGAAUAAUUCUUUUUUGGUACAAAGGUUAAGAGAAUCCGAUUUUUGCAGAACUAUGGAUUCACAUAUCAGGAACCUCGAAGAGGAAGAACUUCUCGAAGAUAUAAUCAAAGACGGCGCCGACGUUGAACCAGCUGAAUCUCCGUCGUCAUAUCUAAACCAGGACGUUGGAAUGGAGGUCGAGCGACACGAAGAUGAAGCCGAUGGGGCAGGAGAUAGGUCAAAUGACGGAGAAGGUGAUAGCUCCACUGAUGGAGAACCCGGUGAAGAAAUAAUAAAGUCCGGUGAGGUAUACAUAUGAAGUUCGACAAUCACUUGUAAUAUGUGAAAAAUAUUGGAGAUAGCUCUAUAUUGUAUAUAUAUACAUUCAUUUGACGAAUGUUUCUCCCUCUUAGGCCUCCACAUCGAGCAAAGCUACGAAACGAGGCCCGACUAGAAAGUUGGAUGCACGGACGCAUUACACCUUUGAGGUGAUAUUGCCUACGGGCGAACCCAAGCUUCCUAAGAAUGCUGCUGACACAUUCAAGAAUCAAUGCGGAGUUCUCGUUAGGGAUCACGUCCCGAUCAUCGUUCGGGAGUGGAACUAGCGCAAAGGGGCAGCCGAUAGUGACUAUGUCGCCGAAAGGUACAAAGAUAAUCUUUGGAAUGAUCUCAUGUCACAUUUCAACCUGCCAGAAUGUGAGAAUGAAGACGCCGCAGAUAAACUGAGGGCCAAAGUCAAGCAGUGGACUCUAAAGAAGAUGGCCGAACUGUUCCGUAGCUGGAAGAAGAAGCUAUGAAAAAACUAUCUGAAGACAAAGAAAGUGCCAGUAUUCGAGGGGUAUCUAGCCAAGCAUGCGAAUCAAUGGAAGGCAUUUCAAGAGUACAAGGAGUCAGAAGAUGCCCACGCAUUAUCAGAAAACAACAAGAUAAAUGCCGACAAGAAGAAAUAUCACCACAAGCUGGGGCCAGGGGGCUAUGAGAGUGUCAUCCCAAAGUGGGAUAAGAAAGAGCAAGAUGUGCUAGAUAAAGGAAUCGUACCCGAACCACUCCGUGAUGAGUGGGAAUUGAGAGCAAGAAAUUGGUUCCUUGCGCAUGGUGGUUCGUACGACGAAUAAACAGGGGACCUCAUCUGCAGUGACGGUCUUAGGAUACCCAGGGAGAAUUGGAAAAGGAUAGUGAAAGAAAUUAAGGAGGGAAAAAGAAAGUUCACUGCAGAUAGAGAGAAAGAUUUGCUCACACUGGUCCUCGGCAAUGACGAACAUGGAGGACGAACGCGAGGCUUUGGUCCUUCUUACCCGUGGUGGCUUGGGUUUGCCAGAGACCAAGACACUUACAGAAGCCAAGAGAGAGCAAAGAAGCGGCAGCAGGAUGAGGAGAAUGACAAGUUCAACCAGUUGCUUGCCAGGAUUAACAAGCAACAGAAGCAGAUUGAUGAGCUUAGAGAAGUAGCACGCCAGGAAGAUCCUGCAAUUGGUAUUACCGGCGCCCCAUCUAAGCGGCAAAGCACCGUGGUUGAAUCUGAGGCCCCGCCCGACGAUGCACGAAGAAUGAUAGAGGGCGGUCUCGGCUACCCCGUGGAUGGAAUCAAGGAGUCAACAUCAUGUGAACUCCAUCAGAAAUUCAAGAACAUAUCCAUGAAGGUGGCCGUCGGACAAGCUUUACCUUCUGGCCCUGAUGCACGCUGGCAUGACCGUGAGAUUCUAGCUGGCUUUGCUAAAGUCGGGGUGGAUGAAAUCAUGGCGGGGUUUCAUGAUAUGGAGCUCGACAUAGCUGGACCCGAAGAUGAGAGGACACUCGGAGAAGUACUGGGUGGAGUCAUCCUAUGGGACAAGAACUACAUCAAGCUUUCAGGCUCGGCCCCAAGGACAACACCGCCUUCGAGUCGUCGCAGGUCACCUACACCUCCAUUACCUCCUAGCCCUCCUCAUGACGUCGGCCAGCACAACACGAGUCCAUCUCGAUCACCGCCGCCGGACUUGGGUCGUCCGUCUCCGCCGCCGCCCGCUCCGGAUAAUAAGCGGAAGCGUGCCACCAAGAACGCUCCCCGACGAUUUCUAAGCGACGGAGCCCCCCAAAGCGCAAACGGUCGCCCCUCCCAAAGGUACCUCAUGCUAAUCUUCCUAUCAUACCUUAUGAUCGUACCCCCGAGGAAAACGCCAGGAUAGCAAAGGAACAUCAUGAUGCGCAGAUGAAAAAGAAGGAACCCGAGCCCCGCCCGGAAUACACCGAGAAGCAAAUAGCAUUUGCAAAAUACUUCACGACCCUUCCAUCACAGUAUGACUUACACCAUAAGCCUGAUGACUAUACACGCACAUUGCGGAAGGAAGUGUAAAAGAGCAGAUCACGUGCAAGUGCAAGUGGGAGCAAAUCAAGUUCAACUACAAGCAAGAAAAAAUCAGACGUUCCUCAGCUUGGACAACAGGCCAAACAGUCGAUCCCACCCCUCAAGGUGUUAACCGAGAAUGUCCCCCCCUCCGGUGGAGGGGCAAGAUUUGGAAUUAGCAAAGAAGUGGGCGGCUGAAUGGGGUAUCUCGGUUGAAGACAUUCCGGCUUCCCAAGACGACAGGUUACCCAAAGCUGUGAUAGCCCCUAAGCCACAGUUUGUCAUGGGAGCGCCUUUGGUCAGCAAAGAUGAUCUCCCAACAAAUAUGCGUUACUUGCAUACAUGGUACUUAAGUGAAUCAAAGAAUGGGAGAACGAUGAUCGUGGUGAGUGUCCCACGGGAGUACUACGGCCGCCCCGAAGAAAUCCAUAUCGACUUUGAUGAACUCUUCCAGAUGUACAAUGGCGAAGCCCUCGAGAAAUCGCUUAUGACUUGCUAUUGUCUGUAAGUUUUUCAAUUCGUUGCCUACAUAUAACUUGUUUAGUUAUUUCAAUUCAUUGUCUAUAUAUAACUUGUACUCUAUUAUACAGAACGAAGAUUCUGGAUUGUAAAAGUAAGAACAUCCUAAAUAUUGGGUUUAUUGACCCAGAUAAAAUACAUAUAGCGACGCUAACUGAUAAACCCAAGGAGACGGAGGAAAACCUUCUAAGGUGUCUAACAGAUCAAAAUUUCUGUGACCACAUACUGUUUCCAUACAACUUCAGGUGAGGGUCUUUACUCUGUUGUGUCCAUUCACUUAUAAGUGUAAUUGAUAAGUUACUGACACACACACACACACACAUAUAUAUACAUGUGCAGCUUUCAUUGGAUUCUGUUGGACAUUCAAAUUGAUAAGGGAAGAGUUGAUGCCUUCGACCCCUUAUCGAGACCCUUGGAACAGUUCCAAAGCCUGCAGGACAUGCUCCAAGGGUAAUUUCAAUCAUUCUUGCGCUCUAUCGGUCUCUUUCGAUUGAUUUUUUGAUAUAUUAAUUAAUGAAAAACUUAGCAAAUCCUUAUCCUUGUCGGGCAGGGUUUGGAAGCAGUUCAAGUGCGUGACUCCCGGUAUCGAGUCUGAGAAGCUGACCUUUAGAGCGGUUGAGGUAAGUAGUAGUAUGAUAUACUUCUAUUUUCAAUACAUUUAUGAUGCUAGAUUAUUAUUUUGAUUAUAUAUAUUCUAUUCUUGUAAAGUGCGACCAGCAGCCACGGGGAACGCAUCUAUGCGGAUACUAUGUUUACGAGACCAUUCGCACGUUUACCUCUGACUUCAAGGAUCACAGAUUCGACGUAAGCAAUGAACAUUCACACCUCUAUUUUUACCCGUCAUUCUUUGUUAUCAUGAUUGAUAUUCAUAUUCAUCUCCUCUUCUUAUAUAGCACACGACCAUGAGGACGAARGGUCCUACCAGAGCAACGCGCGAUUGCUGUUGCAGAGGAGCUUGCGGAAUUUCUGAGGACGGAAGUUAUAGAGCUCAAAGGACGAUUUAGUAUAGCUAAGGGCCAUUACUGAUGUUCGCCCAUGUAAUCGAAUAGACGGGCUCUAGUCCCGAUAAUUCAAAUCUCCAUAUAAUUGUAUAUAUAUAUGCUCGCUUGUAAGAUAAGUUAAUCUUAUAUAUAUAUGCAUAAUUAUUUCUAUUUAAAUUAUAUGAAAACUAAUUCCCGAACACCAAACGAGGCAUCACGUUAAUCUUCCGAACACCUAAACCCUAAAACCCUAAAACCCUAAAAUAAUUUCAUUCAAAAAAAAAACCCAAAAACCAGCAAAAUCUGAAAAUCUUUAGUCCCGGUCCGUGUAACGAACCGGGACUAAAGGGCCUGCCCCUGGGGCGCUACGAGGCGCCCACGUGGAGCACCUUUAGUCCCGGCUUGUAAGAGGGCCGGGACGAAAGGUUAGGCCUUUAGUCCCGCCCCUUUAGUUCCGGUUGGUGAACCGGGACUAAAGCCCCUUACGGGCCGGGGCUAAAGGCCCCGUCCCCACUAGUGCUUGUGUUCACGUAUAGACAAGCGGACAGUCAAAACAUCAUGCCUUUCGUGACACCCUAUGCAGCCUAGAAUGUAUGCAGACAAUCAAAUUAGGUGCAGAUGUUAGUUUUGUGCUGAUUUUAUCUAAGCCACGCCUGGUUGAGCCAGACUCCACGGACCAGUCUAGCUAGGAACGCCUACCAAACACACCCAGGGCCGGUCCUGAGAUUUCCGGGGCCCGGGGCGAAACUUACAACGGGGCCCUUAAGAAUUUUUUACUGUCUUUAUAUACAAGGUCACUACUGCUAGAAUCUAUAUAUGGAUAAUAAGACAUAGCUUCUCUAAAGUUGUAUCAUCACACACUUGUUGGUGGCCACGGUGUGAUCUUCUCUUAUUGUGCCUGCAUGGGGAGUUAAUGAUAGCGCAUCUCCGGCUAGGGCACAUAAAAGAUCAAGUGUUCAUUGCAAGCAGCUGGAGAGGGGAUGAUUGCACACGAGAUCAAGGCAAAUAUUUUUUACCAUACAAUGAUUUAGCAAUCACACACCUUGGUGGGUAGGAAAUUAUUUUUGUAUGACGAGACCUUAAUAUCGAACAGUCAUAAUCACCUCUACAUACAUACUAAGACCAGUGCAAGAUAUCCAAAAAUAUAACAUCUAAAUAAAGUUGAUGAAAUAAUCGGUUGUCAAUUUAGAACAUGGAAUCGACCUCUUUCAGAAAUGCAUAAAUUAGUAUUUGAUACAAAGCAACAGAAACAAGAGUACUGCCCGUGUGACCCCUGCUUCGCUAUCGUCGUGGUGCCCACGUCGCACCUUGUUCCGAACUGGUCAUAGCUCUCUGUCACUAGACUUAGUUUUCUUUUUUAGGUAUAGGGUUGUUUAUCAAUGUACUGGAUAGUCUGCAGGUACGAAUGAAUUUUUUUUAAAAAUUGUUGUACUUUCAUGAUAAAUGAUGAACAGAUAAAAUGUUUUCCAAAAAAAAAAUUAGCUUGCUAUAGCAACAGACUUGUCUGCAAGAUUUCUUUGAUGGCGUGACUUUUCUGCAAGAUAUUUUGACCUGGGAAAUUAUGCAAGAAUUUCUUUGGAAGCAAAAGUAAAAUCCCGUAGUUUUCUGCUUUUCUAUUUAUAGUCUAAUAACGUAUUUAUUAGUUUCCUUCUGAGCCGUAAGUUUUUUAGACAAUGCUGAACCGUACGUGUCCUGCCUAGAUUUGAUGGAGGAUUGGCCCACAUCCACUUAAUCACCAUCAUGCAAUGCUAAAGAAAGAUAGGCCCAAGGCCCUGCUUACUAGAGGAGAAAUGCUACUAGAAGAAUGAAAGGACAAAGUCCAGAUCUGCAGCACCCAUCGCUCCAAACGGUUUGGCUUUCUUCUUCCUGGAGAAGAAAAGCUUCUACUGCUCUAAUGGCCCCUCUGGCCACCCGAUGGUUUGCAUAGGAGUAUCUGCACAUAUCUAAGGUGGGGGCCCCUUUGAUUUGGGGGCCCGGGGCAGCGGCCCCUCCUGCCCCCCCCUCAGGGCCGGCCCAAACACACCCAUAAAGAUCUAUGGCGAUGAGAAUUUUCCUAUGGAUACCGGUGGAAUCGCAUGGACGACAGAGAACGUGUGCAGCAGUAGUUGACUUUGCUGCGUCAUGCAGCUCGUCGAAGGAAUAGAGCACGCUGAUCUUUUAAGAUUUCCUUUCUAGCACUAUUGUUUACAGUUUUGCUAAGUAUUCUCUAUGUUCUACUCCCAUUGUCCUGAAUUAUUUAUCACAAAAAUGAAUGUAGGUAUAUGUAUUUUUAGUUUAGGUACAUCCAUCUUCAUUUUUCCAUGAUAAGUAAUUCAGGAUGAAGGAAGUAUAAAUUGAUUUACAUGGAGAUUAAUGCGGGGAUUUUUUUUCUUUCUUUUUUAUGCUUGAUUUGAGUCACUUAAAUGUGUAAUAAGUAGGGCAUGUCUAGAUGUGUCCUAAACACAUCCUAUUGUUUUAUUCAUAUAGGACUGCAAUUCAUGUAAGAAUUCAUAUAGGACUGCAAUUGAUGUAAGAAAUUAUUGGUACGGAAUCUCAUACGAUAUUGUUUACCCACUCCAAAGCAUACAUGAUGAAAUUAUAUGUGCUCUUUUUUCUGUGGGAUAAGAAAUUAUCUGUUUUCAUGUGCACACACACACGUCCUUGCAAUCUUGUAGCAUUGAAGUAUGACAGGACACACGAUUCAAGUGUUUAUCAACCCCUUCGUGUUAAAAAAUCCUGAAAAUCAAAGAGACAUGGCUAAAAAAAGAAUCAACCAGGCGCCAACUCAAAGGACGACAGGAACCAGUUGAGGUUAGUGGCCAUGGAGGAGGUUCACACACGGGUGACAUCAACCAAGAACAUGCCGUUGUGUCAUUUCCUCUCAUGGAACCGGUGUCUACUUCACCCACGAUAAUUAUAUAAAAAAUAAUAGAAAAGCACCAGGCUUGUUUGUUUUGCUCGAACGUCUCAGAGACACUGUAGGUAGCAGCUAAUUAUUUCAAUGCCUUUUAGUCCACUAUAGUCUUACGGACACGUCGGAGAAAAGCUGACCACCAUGACCAUUGCCACACCUCCGACGAUGCUCACAACCGUCAUCAUAGCCAAGCCAAACCGCCCUCAUUGCCGGACGGACACGACCAAGCAGCGGGAACGAAAUCCCCAUCUACCACUUAUUCCUCUGGCCAGUAAGGAGCUCCAGGAAUGAUGCCCCAAGAGGUGUGAUGCACGUCGCCAUUAUCCUCCAAUCCCAGGGGUUCAUGGGUUUCCUCCGGGCAUCCUUACGUAGUGCAACGAGCAGGAACGCCUCAGUGACGCCUUCAAGAAGGAAUCGGCACCCGUAGGCAUUGUCAUCGCCUGCCCCGACCCAAAAACCGGCAGCAAGGUCUUCGCCCGAUGCUGAACCUCCAACCACCAACUCGAGCCAAACCACCACUACAGGAGCCAGAUCCAACUAUGACUAGUUAGAUCCAACACCCCGUGCAUCAGCUGCAGCCACCCUCACAGGCACCACUGGCAGUGUACAACCGUCCACGCGGUCAGCAUGUUGCCCAACACCACCUCGCCCUCGAGCUGCUGCUUCAGCGAUCUCUCACUUGCAGAUCUAAGGGCAUGAACAUAGAAACCCUCGGCCUACCACCAGCCGCCGCACCACCACACCCACCGCAUGCCUUCCGUGUCAUCUCGCUAGUCAUAGAGCGCAGUCGCUCCGCCGCUGGCCGAAGGGCCAUCGCAGAAGGCAGAUCGAGCAGCGGAACAUGAGCAGAUCGACGCCGCCCCUCUGUGCCUCCAAGCCGGAACGUGAGCAACUACCUAUACGCGAAGCACUGGCGCCUCCCUAGUGGUCGGCCACUCUACCAGCAUCAUGCCACCAGUGGCGCCACAUGAACCACCACCAGCCAUCGCGAGAUCCCCAAAUCGCGGGCAAGUCACACGCUCACACCCGAGGUAAAGGAAACAGGCCUGCCGCCACCGGCUCCCUCGGCUUCACUCUAGUGGGUGUUACCGGUGAUAGCAAGGGAGGGGCGAAGAGGAGGGCAUGAUGGCCUAAGAAGGGCUGGUGCCGCCCGUGUCACCCCUUGGGAGGGAGCUGUGUGGGGCCGUGUCACGGGAUUUUUGGUGCUGUUUUCCAUCACCAACAAAUAGACGCAUCCUGAUGGGUGUCAAACCGUUUCCGAUGGUCUUUUUUGGCCCAUUGAUAAUGUGUUAGUGCGUACUACCUCCGUUACGGUUUAGAAUGCGUACUUAAAAAUUCUCUAGGACCUAGGUGGUUAUUGAUUGACUGUGAGAUGGGCUGAAAAAUAACAUUCACACUCCGCAUGUAUAUAUGAGUAGUACAACGGAGUACUAAUUAGCUGCUAGAGUAAAUGCAAUGCAUCCUAAACCUUAUUUAUUGUGGAAAGGUAUGUAAAUUUAACUAUGUCUUCUAAACUGUGACCGAGGGAGUAAUUGUAAUAACAGUUAUGCAAAUAAGACAUAUUGGUAAUAUCUAGUCUCUCAGCGUUAUUCCCUUCCAUUAAUUUGCAACUUCUCAUUAAUUCUUAUUCUUUAUUUGAGAAAUUAAAAAUGCUUGACAUGCUUAUGAAAACUUAUAUAAGAAGCAAAACAAAUGAGCAAUACAAAAUAAAGGAAGCUGAAUGGAAUCAUGGAUCUUUCUGAUACGAUAAGGGUGCUCAAAACUCGUAUACCACUGGGCAAUCCAAAUCUCAUCUUACCCAGAGUCACAUGCAACCUACAAAAGAAGCAUCUCUUCCCAUUGACCAGAUAGCAAGAAAAACAUAAUACAGAUGGAACCGGUCCAAGUUGCUAGUUUGCAGUCAAAUAUGCAAAUCUUUGAACAAUCUCUUAUUAAUACCGUGUAGGAAUUUCUUUUUGAAUUUGGGCAGUUAAUAAUAGUUCUGAACCAAGGAGAAAGGUACAUGUCUAAAUGACAGUCUAGAUUUCUCCUCAUGUACUCACAUAAAUUUCACAUUGACCUUCCAAGCAGGGAGAUGGGCACCAUGCAUGCCGAGCCCAACAUCGUGGCUAUGUGGGGGCGCCUAACUANCCACUUCAUCUCAUGGGGUUACUUUCUCGCAGCACGGUCCGACAACCGUUAUGGCGUCUCCAUGAUCCCAUGUACAAUGAUGUAUAGUCAGCCGUCUAUAACACCAAACACAUAAGCAGAAAAUGACGUGGAAAGAAAGAAAGGGAAAAAAGACCGGCGUCCGUCUGUAAAAAUAACGACGAUCUACUGCCGCAAAAAUCGAUGCCUACAGACGACCUGUUUUCCGUUGUAUGAGUCCAUCAUGUAUCGUGGGUGGGCCGGAUGGAUCUCCUAUUCCAGGAAUCAGCUUUCCCUUCAACACACGGUAGACCACAUAGAUCUAUCUGAGUUGAUUACCAUGAUUCACGGGUCGUUGAAGAAUUUAUACGGCCGGCCGAACAGCCACCCUGUUGUACGUGACGUUUACACAAUAGUCUAUAGAUGACAUGGACACAUCCUUCAGACGGUGGCCGACUGAACCAAUGUACAUGGCCUCAUGGGGAGUGCGCAACAUUCCAUCCCGAGGUACACUGUCCAAGAUGACUUAUUGCAUACUCCAUGGAUGCUACUAAACCAAAAUUUAUAUCAGAACAACUUGUUUGUUUGUUUGACUCAAACAUCCCAUAGUAAUUGUACUGGUAGCUUAUAACUCAAAUAUCUUCAAGUACAUUACUAAUCCUGGACUACAUGCUUCCAUUUAAAACUAGAAACUGCUGACUUGCUACUAGUUGGUACAUGAGGAAGGAAGACACUUUGCGAGGGGUUGUAUAUAUACACGCGAAGUUCAUCUGGUGGCCAUGCAUUCAUGUUGGCAUGAAUAUAUUAUUACUGCAUCCUGCAUGCAAUAUGUUUGUGCUACACAUUUUUUCUCUUUCUUUUCUCAUGAAGAAUGCAUGAACAUAUGUGUGACUCCUACUAUAAUAAUUAAACGGGCUGUUGCAUUUGGGCCACAUAACGUCUAAUCUGGAAAAUUCAUUUUUUGCCAAAGUGAUAACGGAGCUUGGAUAUUAACCGUCACUGAGUGAUACGACCUAGCAACAGCAGGAUCUCACGCGAAACAUGUCACUGAGUUCUACAAGAUAAAGAUCCUAACGGAGACUUUCUUUGUUUCAGGAGAAUGUCAUACGGAAAACCAACUGCAAACCAGUGAAAACCAUGUGGAAAAGAUUUUUUGAAGCAUGAAAAAAAACAAAUUAUGAGAUGUGAGUUGUGAAAAAAAAAUCAGCAUUGAAUAGUGUCAAACAGUAACGACAAUAUCGGGGCUGAAUUUGUGUUUUUCAUAACUUACAUCUUGUAAUGUGGUUCUACUUGAAAUAUUGCGUGGUAAUAAAACACCAUCCUAUUAACAUCCCGUUUUUUAAAACUUUACAACACUUUCAAAUCUGGUUUCCAUGAAGUUUUCUUUGAAUGUUGGUUUUCAUAUGAUAUUCUGCCCUUUGCUUGACGGGGCUAACCAUAGAUAUGUAAAUGUUCAUCAGAGCAGACGUUCAUAUUAGGAACAGAGAAAAUGCAUCCCAAAUUGGUGAUCAUGCCAUUUCUGAUUUGUUCGACAGGGUUCCCGUCAAUGGAAAUUUUCCGAAAUAGUUAGGUUGGGUAUACCUUGCUCUGUCCGUCACUAAUUUGAGCCCACCUAUAAGGCUUUUUCCUUAGUGUUAUUUUCAAAUGAACAAUCAAACACUCCUUGUAGAUUUACAAGGAACUCUUGCUAGUUUCCAUCAAUCAAUUCAAAUGCUCCUUGUUGGGUUUAACACUCUAACUUUUCAAAAAGGCUACAAUAAAUACCCUACACUUGUGGGUUAUCGGCGUACACCCAACAACCAUGCAUAUAUACACCCAACAGUAGUACUCGGCGUAGUUGGAAUAGGAAGCAUACUCCGACGAUACAUACAUUAAUCUGGAGGAUUGGUUGGCCGAUCCAAAGAAGAUUGGUAGAUAUGAAAGCUUCAACAUGACGGGGGGGACAAAUUGUUGUGUGAUGCGUGGUGCCACUAGCACCGAUCAGAUCAAUGGCACAGGCAAACAAACGCAAUAUAUAGGUCCAAUAUUUGUUCUUGGUUCCAUGAGCACAAGAAUUUUGAGCCCUGCCCCAAGGAAGUAAUCCAAAAUAAUGGGACAAAGGUUCUCAACCAUCAUUGGUGCACCAUCUAAGAGUCUAUGAGCAAGUAUUGAAGCUACUACAAAAAACUAAUCGGUUGGUGGCCCAAGUGGUAAGAAACUCGUUGAGCAAAUAAGUUGUAUGUGUUGGUCAUGGUCGGAUAUAUAUGGUCUAUGUGUUGGUCAUUUAGCCGGAUAUCCAUCUUGCUGACAAUGUAUUUGUUUGCUAGCCAUCCCAUCUGUGCGAGUUGUAUUUGAAGGUGGAGAAGAAGAUCUUUGUCCAGCUAGGGCGGAGUCCAAGGCGUUAUCCAUUGUUCAAGGGAGCGAAGACCCAUACAGAAGGGGUCGGGUUGCUUGCCUAAGACUUUGCACUGUUGCAAGAACCCACACAAUCUGUAAAGAGCAAUCGAAUGACGAGGCAAGAUUAGGUUCUCAAUAACUAAAAUAAUUAACACUAAUGCAGGAAAGCCUAGAGACGGCGUUUUAAGAAAGGUCUUGCUGGCGUAGACACCCGACGCCAUCAAUAUGACACUAUUGUUAAUAAAAUAUCGAUGGCGUUCGUGCCGCCACGCCAUCGGUAUUUCACAUACUCGUCACACGUAGCACUGUUCAUUUACGCCAUCACUAUUUAAAAUAGCAAUGGCAUUGACAUUUAUACACAACAUUACAAUUAACUACUAAUAAUGACGUCAGUAAAAUAUUUACAGAUUUAAAAAAAUAUAUACAAUUUACUCAUGCAUCCAAAUAUGUAUACAUUCACUAGUGGGGAUAGGGCCUAUAGCCCCGGCCCGUAAGGGGCUUUAGUCCCGGUUCACCAACCGGGACUAAAGGGGGGGGACUAAAGGCCUAACCUUUAGUCCCGGCCCUGUUCCAAGCCGGGACUAAAGGUGCUCCAUGUGGGCGCCUCGUAGCGCCCCAGGGGCAGGCCCUUUAGUCCCGGUUCGUUACACGGACCGGGGUUAAAGAGUUUCAGAUUUUGCUUAUUUUUUGGUUUUCUUUUUUGAAUGAAAUUAUUUUUGGGUUUUAGGGUUUUAGGGUUUAGGUGUUCGGGAGAUUAACUGAUGCCUCGUUUGGUGUUCGGAAAUUAGUUUUCAUAUAAUUUAAAUAGAAAUAAUUAUGCAUAUAUAUAUAUAUAAGAUUAACUUAUCUUACAAGCGAGCAUAUAUAUACAAUUAUAUGGAGAUCUGAAUUAUCGGGACUAGAGCCCGUCUAUUCGAUUACAUGGACGAACAUCAGUAAUGGCCCCUAGCUACACUAAAUCGUCCUUUGUCAUCUAUAGCUUCCGUUCUCAGAAAGGUCGCAAGCUCCUCUGCAACAGCAAUCGCGCGUUGCUCUGGUAGGACCUUCGUCCUCAUGGCUGUGUACUAUAUAAGAAGAGGAGAUGAAUAUGAAUAUCAAUCAUGAUAACAAAGAAUGACGGGUAAAAAUAGAGGUGUGAAUGUUCAUUGCUUACGUCGAAUGUGUGAUCCUUGUGCUCAGAGGUAAACGUGCGAAUGGUCUCGCAAACAUAGUAUCCGCAUAGAUGCGUUCCCCGUGGCUGCUGGUCGCACUUUACAAGAAUAGAAUAUAUAUAAUCAAAAUAAUAAUCUAGCAUCAUAAAUGUAUUGAAAAUAGAAGUAUAUCAUACUACUACUUACCUCAACCGCUCUAAAGGUCAGCUUCUCAGACUCGAUACCGGGAGUCACGCACUUGAACUGCUUCCAAACCCUGCCCGACAAGGAUAAGGAUUUGCUAAGUUUUUCAUUAAUUAAUAUAUCAAAAAAUCAUCGAAAGAGACCGAUAGAGCGCAAGAAUGAUUGAAAUUACCCUUGGAGCAUGUCCUGCAGGCUUUGGAACUGUUCCAAGGGUCUCGAUAAGGGGUCGAAGGCAUCAACUCUUCCCUUAUCAAUUUGAAUGUCCAACAGAAUCCAAUGAAAGCUGCACAUGUAUAUAUAUGUGUGUGUGUGUGUGUGUCAGUAACUUAUCAAUUACACUUAUAAGUGAAUGGACACAACAGAGUAAAGACCCUCACCUGAAGUUGUAUGGAAACAGUAUGUGGUCACAGAAAUUUUGAUCUGUUAGAAACCUUAGAAGGUUUUCCUCCGUCUCCUUGGGUUUAUCAGUUAGCGUCGCUAUAUGUAUUUUAUCUGGGUCAAUAAACCAAAUAUUUAGGAUGCUCUUACUUUUACACUCCAGAAUCUUCAUUCUGCAUAAUAGAGUACAAGUUAUAUAUAGACAAUGAAUUGAAAUAACUAAACAAGUUAUAUAUAGACAACGAAUUGAAAAACUUACACACAAUAGCAACUCAUAAGCGAUUUGUCGAGGGCGUCGCCAUUGUACAUCUGGAAGAGUUAAUCAAAGUCGAUAUGGAUUUCUUCGGAGCGGCCAUAGUACUCCCAUGGGACACUCAGCACGAUCAUCGUUCUCCCAUUCUUUGAUUCACUUAAGUACCAUGUAUGCAAGUAACGCAUAUUUGUUGGGAGAUCAUCUUUGCUGACCAAAGGCUCUCCCAUGACAAACUGUGGCUUAGGGGCUACCACAGCCUUGGGUAUCCUGUCGUCUUGGGAAGCCAGCAAAUCUUCAACCGAGAUACCACAUUCAGCCGCCAACUCCUUUGCUCUUUCAAAAGCUUGCCCCUGCACCGGAGGGGGAACAUUCUCGGUUAACACCUUGAGGGGUGGGAUCGACUGUUUGGCCUGUUGUCCAAACUGAGGAACGUCUGAUUUUUUCUUGCUUGUAGUUGAACUUGAUUUGCUCCCACUUGCACUUGCACGUGAGCUGCUCUUUUUCACUUCCUUCUGCAAUGUGCAUGUAUAGUCAUCAGGCUUAUAGUGUAAGUCAUACUGUGAUGGAAGGGUUAUGAAGUCUUUUGCCCAUGCUGUUUGCUUGUCGGUGUAUUCUGGGCGGGGCUCGGGUUUCUUCUUUUUCAUCUGCGCAUCAUGUUGUUCCUUUGCUAUCCUAGCGUUUUCCUCGGGGGUACGAUCAUAAGGUCUGAUAGGAAGAUUAGCAUGAGGUAACUUUGGGAGGGGCGACAGUUUGCGCUUUGGGGAGCUCCGUCGCUUAGAAAUCAUCGACCGAGCGUUCUUGCUGGCACGCUUCCGCUUAGUAUCAUGUGCGGGCGGCGGCGGAGACGGACGAUCCAAGUCCGGUGGCGAUGAUCGAGAUGGACUCGUGUUGUGCUGGCGGACGUCAUGUGGAGGGCUUGGAGGUAAUGCAGGUGUAGGUGACCUGCGACGACUCGGAGGCAGUGUUGUCCUUGGGGCCGAGCCUGGAAGCUUGAUGUAGUUCUUGUCCCAUUGGAUGACUCCACCCAGUACUUCUCCGAGUGUCCUCUCAUCUUCGGGUCCAGCUAUGUCGAGCUCCAUAUCAUUAAACCCCGUCAUGAUUUCAUCCACCCGACUUUAGCAAAGCCAGCUGGAAUCUCACGGCCAUGCCAGCGUGCAUCAGGGCCAGAAGGUAAAGCUUGUCCGACGGCCACCUUCAUGGAUAUGUUCUUGAAUUUCUGAUGUAGUUCACAUGAUGUUGACUCCUUGAUUCCAUCCACGGGGUAGCCGGGACCGCUCUCUAUCAUUCUUCGUUUAUCGUCGGGCGGGGCCUCAGAUUCAGCCACGCUGCUUUUCCUCUUAGAUGGGGCGCCGGUAAUAUCAAGUGCAGGAUCUUCCUAGCGCGGUACUCCUCUAAGCUCAUCAAUCUGCUUCUGUUGCUCGUUAAUCCUGGCAAGCAACUGGUUGAACUUGUCAUUCUCCUCAUCCUGCUGCCGCUUCUUUGCUCUCUCUCGACUUCUGUAAGUGUCUUGGUCUCUGGCAAACCCAAGCCACCACGGAUAAGAAGGACCGAAGCCUCGCGUUCGUCCUCCAUGUUCGUCAUUGCCGAGGACCAGUGUGAGCAAAUCUUUAUCUCUAUCUGCAGUGAACUUUCUUUGUCCCUCCUUAAUUUCUUUCACUAUCCUUUUCCAAUUCUCCCUGGGUAUCCUAAGAUCGUCAUUGCAGAUGAGGUCCCCUGUUGUUUCUUCGUACGACCCACCAUGCGCAAGGAACCAAUUUCUUGCUCUCAGUUCCCACUCAUCACGGAGUGGUUCAGGUACAAUGCCUUUAUCUAUCAGAUCUUGCUCUUUCUUAUCCCACUUUGGGAUGGCAGUCUCAUAGCCCCCUGGCCCCAGCUUGUGGUGAUAUUUCUUCUUGUCGGCAUUUAUCUUGUUCUUUUCUGAUAAUGCCUGGGCAUCUUCUGACUCCUUGUACUCUUGAAAUGCCUUCAAGUGAUUCGCCUGCUUGGCUAGAUACCCCUCGAAUACUGGCACUUUCUUUGUCUUCAGAUAGUUUUUCCAUAGCUUCUUCUUCCAGCUACAGAACAGUUCGGCCAUCUUCUUCAGAGUCCAUUACUUGACUUUGGCCCUCAGUUUGUCUGCGGCGUAUUCAUUCUCACAUUCUGGCAGGUUGAAAUGUGACAUGAGAUCAUUCCAAAGAUUAUCUUUGUAUCUUUCGGCGACAUAGUCACUAUCGGCUGCCCCUUUGCGCUUGUUCCACUCCCGAACGCUGAUCGGGACGUGAUCCCUAACGAGAACUCCGCAUUGCUUCUUGAAUGUGUCAGCAACAUUCUUGGGAAGCUUGGGUUCGCCCGUAGGAAAUAUCACCUCAAAUGUGUAAUGCGUCCGUGCAUCCAACUUUCUAGUCGGGCCUCGUUUUGUAGUUUUGCUCGACGUGGAGGCCUAAGAGGGAGAAACAUUCAUCAAAUGAAUGUAUAUGUAUACAAUAUAGAGCUAUCUCCAAUAUUUUUCACAUAUUACAAGUGAUUGUCGAACUUCAUAUGUAUACCCCGCCGGACUUCUCCUCUUCACCGGGUUCUCCAUCAGUGGAGCUAUCACCUUCUCCGUCAUUUGACCUAUCUCCUGCCCCAUCGGCUUCAUCUUCGUGUCGCUCGACCUCCAUUCCAACGUCCUGGUUUAGAUAUGACGACGGAGAUUCAGCUGGUUCAACGUCGGGGCCGUCUUUGAUUAUAUCUUCGAGAAGUUCUUCCUCUUCGAGGUUCCUGAUAUGUGGAUCCAUAGUUCUGCAAAAAACGGAUUCUCUUAACCUUUGUACCAAAAAAGAAUUAUUCUAUCAGGAACUCCUUUCCAAAACAACUUAAGUCUCGGGUUGUGGCUCCACCCGGGACUUCUAGAUUUCUGCAUAGUAUUCAAAGUAGGAGUACUUUUCCAAUUUGAGCAUUCAAUAAGCAAAACCAAAUCGUAAAAUAAAGUAGUAUUCAAAUUAGCAUGCAUUCAAUUAUAAGCUAAUACAUCAUUACUUUUGUCCGUACAUCGUCGAAUAUUAUCACUAAUACUCCUCGAAUACUAUCAUACAUAUAGCAUCACUGAUACAUCUAGAACCGUAGCGCCCGACGGGUAUCGGCGCGGGCGGUGGACACCCAAAGAGAAGGAACCAUCACAGGAUCAUAGCUCCAAUGAGAUCCCCGAAGAACCCGCUAGGUAUGCUCGAACCUGCCCUCCAACGCAACCAUGUAGCGACGGACGUGCUCAUCCUCCUCGCUGACACGGUGACAUACCACCUCCGCGGUGUCCGGAAGCCUCGGCACCCUCACUGGCCCACGCGACCGCCACCAAACAAGGAUCGGGUCAACGACGGGCUGGCUCCUCACCAACCUACGCCCCCGGAAGGUAGCACCUCCCAAUACCAGCCGGGCGGAGCCUAGUCCCGGACAGGGCCCCUCUGAUCAAGCAGGUGUCCUCCGCCGAGUCGACGACGAGGAUGCGGGAUAGGCAUUGUAAAAUGAACUAAAAAAAUAAACUAGUUCUAUUAAUUUUCUUGCUAAAAAUAAACUAUUAACACUUAAGCAUAUACAAUAGCAAAAUUAAACUAUUAACACUUAAGCAUAUACAGUAGCAAAAUUAAGCAAUAAUCUAAGAAACACUAUUAACACUUAAGCAUAUACACUAUACAAUAGCAAAAUUAAGCAUAUACACUAUACAAUAGCAAAAUUAAAUGACACUACAUAUUUUUGUUCAUAUACGCUAUCUUAUUUUCUUAUUUUUGUUCAUAUUUCUUCUUGUUGUAACGCUAACCUAAUUCUAAAUAUUACUAACCCUAAUAAUCUAACACAAACCUAAUAACAAUAGGAAUUAAAUGACAAAAAAAAUCUUUUUCUUUUUCUUCUUUUCUUCUCCUUUUUUUUCUUUUCUUCUCCUUUUUCUUCCUUUCUUCUCCUUUUUCUUCUUUUCUUCUCCUUUUUCUUCCUUUCUUCUACUGGCCGGAGUGUUGGGGAGGAUGGGGCGGGGGGCUUACCGGCCAGAGGUGUCGACGGCGCGCGGCGAGGAGGAUGGCGCGGUGCGCGGCGAGGAGGAUGGCGCGGCGCGCGGCGAGGAGGAUGGCGCGGCGAGGAGGACGGCGGGCGGCGGCGAGCAGGACGUCGGGCAGCCUGACGGCGUCGUCGAGUUCGUCGCUGUGCCGCGUCGGGCAGGAGAACGAGAGGAAGAAGAAGAGAAAUGGAUGAUUUGGGUUGAAAUUUUUCGAAGUCCCGCUUAUAUAGGUGGAUCUUUAGUCCCGGUGCGUGCCUCCAACCGGGACUAAAGGGGGUGUUUAGUCCCGGGGUGUGGCUCCAACCGGGACUAAAGCCCCUCCUCGGCUGUACGAUAAGUUUAGUCCCACCUCGCCCAGCGAGGGGGACUAACACUUGUUUAUAAGCCCCGUCGCAGCUUCUCCAUCGAGCUCCUCUCUAAAGCAGGCUUACGGGCCUAAACUCACUGGAAAUUGUAACUAUAUUGGAAAUUAUAGGGAAAAUUCAAUCUAAAUUCAAAUGAGAAUUUAGAUUGAAUUUUCUCUAUGAUUUCGAAUAUAGUUUCAAUUUUUUCUAUUUUCGUAUACAAAACGGACAAUCUCUCUCGAAGUAGCAGCGUUUCGAACGAGAACUUAUCUCUUACAAAUGGAUUUCAUUUUUUUGAACUUAUUUGAACUCCAUACUUUUUGUGUGUUCAAAAUGCACCAUUCUAAGGCAMAUCACAAAAUUUCAACAAUUUCUGACUUCAUUUGGUAUUCUUCGUGCAUUUACUUAUUUUUUUUGAGCUAGUUGACCCUGAAAUUGAAAAGCACUACAAAUGAACUCUGAAAAUGUUGAAAGUUGGCAUGCUAUCAUCAUUUCACCCACAUAGCAUGCGUUAAAAAGUUGAGAGGGCUACGACAAAAACUGGAUGCAGUUCGUGUACAAAACGGACAAUCUCUCUCGAAGUAGGAGCGUUUCGAACGAGAACUCAUCUCUUACAAAGGGAUUUCAUUUUUUUGAACUUAUUUGAACUACAUACUUUUUGUGUGUUCAAAAUGCACCAUUCAAAGGCACAUCACAAAAUGGACAAUCUCUCUCGAAGUAGAAGCGACCCCCAUAAUAAGAGACAACAUUCUUCUUCUCUCAUAUAUGGUGGACACUAGCUCACCUGAAUUUUCAACCGUCGAUGAUGGUCGCUACUCCUACUUCCCCUAGUUCAUAACCAAUAUCUAGCACAAGGAGAAGAAGGAGAAGCGACCCCCACAACAAAAGUGGUUCCGCGGCAUGCCACGUGGUUCCGCUGCACGCCACGUGGGACUAAUGGUCUUUCAUUUUUAAAUGACUGUUUUAAUCAAAAACAGAUCUGUUACAAAAGGGAUUUCAUUUUUUAAACUUAUUUGAACUGAAGACUUUUUGUAUAUAUAUGUGGUCGAAAUGCAUGAUACCAUGAAGUUAGAAAGGGCCAAACCAUUCAAAAGUAGCAAAUGAAGUUAGAAAGGGCUAAACCAUUCAAAUUUGGAAACUAUAAUCGCACAAACAGAAACUAGACAUAUAUAAAUUGGUCCAAGAAGUACAUGAUACUAGUCCAAACAGUACAUAAUAAUAGCUACCAUAGAUAUAUAUACAAGUGUUCGACGUUCAGAACACUACUCGUCUGAAUCAUCUAAAUCAGAAUGUCCACCUUCCUCGAGGUGACGCUGACCAUAGUGGACGACUCGAAUCUUGCGGUACAACUCGUAUGAAACGUAUGCAUCUUUUGCUGCAUACUCAAUGUUGAUAUCAUCAAGUGGGCCCUUCUCCCAAAUUUUGUGCUGAGACUUUGGGAAACUGGUCUUCAUAUCACCAUAUGAAUCGUCGAUCAAGGCAACUGCCAUAUGAGCCUUCGAAGUCCUGUCAUGUCGAAGCCUGAAUAUCGUUUGGAGAUCAACGAGGCAACCAGCUGGUAUCUCAAUACCGAAGCUGUGCCUCAUCUUCAGCUUGUCGUUCCUUAUGUCAACGAAAGCAAAAGUGAUGCCGCUGCGAAGGAAGUCCAUGAGUUCUGGACAAUGCUUGUCACUCCUGCAACAGAAACAAAUUAAAAUGGAACAAAUGUUACAUACUGCUGCAAUAAGGAAACAUGUUUCACUACAACUAAAGAGAAAAUUAUCUUUAGGAUUCUCAUAGAACAUAUGCAAUGGAACCUAGAGAGAUCACUAUAGCUAUCCAAUGGAACCUAGAGAGAUCGCUAGCUAUAUGCAAUUUUCAUGACUAUGACAUAUCAUAUUGCUAUCCAAUGGAACCUAGAGAGAUCACUAGCUAUAUUCAAUUUUCAUAACCUUGGAUCAAAGAACACCGCAUAAAAUUGUAUCACUACAACUAUGAUUUCAAUGGAACAUAUUGAACCAAUCAGAUUUUUCAGAUUGUCGAACACUAUUCCAAUCAGAUUGUGUUCCCUUCAACUAAUCAAAAUUGUUUCACUACAACUAUUUGAAGCGAACCAACUAUGAUUCCAAUGGAACAUAUUAAACACUAGUUGAUUCUAAUAAGAUUUUUCAGAUUAUGGAACACUAUUCCAAUCAGAUUGUGUUCCCCUUCAACUAAUCAAAAUUGUUUCACUACAACUAUUUGAAGGAAACCAACUAUGAUUCCAAUGGAACAUAUUAAACACUAGUUGAUUCUAAUACGAUUUUUCAGAUUAUGGAACACUAUUCCUAUUAGAUUGUGCUCCCCUUCAACUAAUCAAAAUUGUUUCACUACAACUAUUUAAAGGGAACCAACUAUGAUUGAAACAAAUAAACUUACAAUGUCAUUAUCUUGAAUCAAAGAAAGCCUCAAAACUUGCCUCGCCCAUUGGAAGAUCAAGACAUGGCGUGCGAAGCAUAGUUGGAUGACGGCAACACCGCGUUGAUCGGCCUGUAGUCCAGAUCAAGCCCCAAGAACUUCUCAUGAUCCACUGCGUUGUCAAACCAUCGUUCCUUCAACUGUUGAAGAAAAAACGGCACCUCCCUGCUCAGGUUCGUGUACACGACAUGGAGCUUGGUCGUGCCAUGUGCGAGCACCUCAUGAAAGCUAGUUGGAAUGGUGGAAGAAGAGAAGGGAAGAAGAGAGGAGAAGAACAGAGAGGGAGAGCGAGAGAGAAGAAGAAACAGAGAAAUGACGACUGUACGCUUCGGUUCGUGCUUUUCAUCGCCCGAAACGACGCGGGAUGCAAACGUUUGGGCCUUUAGUCCCGGGUUGAGCCACCAACCGGGACUAAAGAGGUAUACCAACGGUUGCCACCACUACGGCAGGCCACGUGUUAGGCCUUUAGUCCCGGGUUGAGCCACCAACCGGGACUAAAGGGGAUACGAACGGUUGCCACCACCACUGCCCACCGCGUAGCCCUUUAGUCCUGGUUUGGGACACGAACCGGGACUAAAGGCUCCUUACGGGCCGGGACUAAAGCCUCGAGGGAGGCAUUGAGAAUUGGGGCGACGUGGCCGGACCUUUAGUCCAGGCCCAGAGGCAGGCCGGGACCGACUAAAUGGUCCCGGCCAAAGGCCCGUUUUCCACUAGUGAAGGCAUGCUAUUUGAUUGCAUUUAACAUCUGUUGUCUGAUAACCUUUUCAGCGUGGUGGUGAGGUUACCAACACAGAACGAUGUCUGGAAUAACACAUACAACAAAAGACAGUAGCAAGCAGUUAUAAAUAUUGUAUCACACUUAAACAUAACAGUUCUAAAGCAAAGCAGUUCAAUAUUAAACUAAACAAGCGGGAGUGUGCGUGUGCGUGUGCGUGUGCAAGAUUGCAAGAUUGCAAGAUUAUUAAUAAUAAACUUUAAUACUACAAGAUUGCAAGGACGUGUGCAUGUGCACAUGAAAACAGAGAAUUUGGUAUCCCACAGAAAAAAGAAAACAUAUAAUUUCAUCAUAUAUGCUUUGGAGUGGGUAAACAAUAUCUUAUGAAAUUCCGUACCAAUAAGUUCUUACAUCAAUUGCAGUCCUAUAUGAAUUAAACAAUAAGAUGUGUUUAGGACACAUCUAGGUAUGCCCUACUUAUUACACAUUUAAGUCAAUUAAAUCAAGCAUAAAAAAGAUUCCCUCCGUGUUGCCCCGACGUGGCCGUUUCCCCACUUCGUGACACGGUGGCAGCGACGCCCGUGACGGGUGCACACCCUGGAGACGUGUGCCGGGUGCUUGUGCCUGCCACCACGCUUCCACAAGCGUAGGAGGGAACACCACAACACCAAGCGGCAUUGCUACCCCCACCUUUACCCCGUCCCAUCUAACCCUGACAUUUUCCACCGCCGGAUCUAGCUCUUUGAUUUCCGCCGGACGGGGUUAGAAAACAACACGACAGCGGACGAAGCAAACGAAAUGCCAACGAACACAGAAAUAACUGACAAAACGAUGUGUUAAUGAUCUUUGGAAUUAAAUAGCAAUGUUAAAUUAGUUAUACAAAAACUAGAAGUCUCAUGUGACAGUUGUACUUGCAUACAUUAUGGAGCUUGAGAUGAAGCAAGCAAUUACAAUAUUAUGCAAUUCCCCUCCUUCUCUUGUGGCGGUUUGCUUGCUAUUUGUUGAUAAUUGUAGACUGUGAAGACUCGUGAGGUAUGGGUACUUACUAUACGAACGUUUUCUGAACUGCAAGGUCAUUUUGGUACUAUCAUUACAUGAUUUGUGUCUUCACAUAGCUUCGUUUCAGGUUCUGGUUUGAAUUUUUGUUAACUUCACAAACCACACAAAAAAUUGGUAUGUCUAACCAUUACUGGGAAAGGGCUUGUAGAUGAACACUAAUAAGUAGUGGGCAGGGUGGGACACCCGCCACUGCAAUUAUUCAUGAACAGUUGUGGCGUGUGCCAGCGGCCACCCGCCACAGCUAAGGUCAUUCCAAUGGCGGGUAAUAGUUCUUGCCCGUCAUAGGUAGGCUCUUCUAAAAUAACCCACUGGCUCGACAGUACAGUGGCGGGCAGCUGGAUGGCACCCUUCACUGGUUCUCUAUUACUUGUGUUCGGUGGCCGUCGUCGCCCGCCACAACCGUAGAUUGGCAAACGAUGCCAUACACAUCCAAAUUUUCUUAAUAUUUGCGGUGGUGGGCAUGCUUGUAUGCUCUCCAUAGUAGUUCUUCUGCAUCAAUUUUCGGUUCCUCUCCCUGCCCACUCAAUCAGUUCCUCUACCACCUCCCUCACUCAGUCAGUUCCUCCUCCCGUUAUUAUGCGCCUUUCCCGCGGCCGCCAUCGUGCCUCUGACCCGCACCACCGCUGGAUCUGCACGCAGGUGACCACACAACCACCCUCCCCACGCAGCGGCCCUUCCUCGUCCCGACCGUCCCCUCCCGAUGCGGGGCCCCGCUGCCUCACGACAUUGUCAACCCCCUCCGCCGUUCCAAGUCCCCUCCGCCGCAGGUAGCCUCAGUUCACUACCUCUCUUCUUCUUUGUUUUAAUCUCUAGGGUUCAUAUGGUAGAUAAUUUAUUGGUAGGAUGAUAACGGAAACAAAGGUGGCCACUUUGUAGGGUUCGUAUGGUUAGAUGGAUGGAUGCAUUUAGGUGGAUAUUAGUACUUCACUGUAAUCAUAUUGCUAUGGAAAAAAUUGUGGCAGCCUAGGUCAUUUUCUUAGUUCAUUACUCGAUAUAUGUAAUGUUAAACGAUGAUGGUUCGGGUUGUCUUUGAGUUUAUUGGGGCUACUUCUAUGACUUUCAGUGAGGGAGAAGACCGAAUCCCGACUGUUGUUGUGGAGGUCGCUUGUCCUUCGAUUGCAUGUGCCGGACAUUGUUGUAAUGCACUUGGGAACGAAUGGAUAAGCGACCAUCACCGACGGUCGUAAUAUCAAUGUGAGGGUGUGUCCACUAUAUAGAUGGUCAAAUAUCAGUGAGGAAGAAUGCUGAUUUUUCUCGUGGGCGUUAUUCGUCCUCCUUUUCCUCAUGAUAGGCCUAUUGAUGGAGCACGAGGAGAAGGAGACAAGCGACCAUCAUUGACGAUCGUAAUAUCAAUGUGAGAGAGUGGCCAUCAUAUGCACUACGUGAGAUGGAAGUUUUUCAAGGGAGACUCGACGGACUGAAAGACAACCCGAACAGGAGACAACCCAAACAGGAUGAAACUCCCCUAUAAAGCUAGUUAUUUUUUCAAGUGAGACUCGAUAGAGUAUUUUUUGACAUGAAAAUGCGAAGUAAGUUUUUUCUAAAUGAAAAUGUGAAGUGUGUUAUUUAAAAUGAAUUUGCAGAAACACCUCCGGGUGUCCUAUGUUUUGCCACAAUGUUAAUUCAUUUCCGUUCCCGUAAUUUUUAGCCGCUCAAUUUGUCCUUUUUCAGCAACGGUCAUGCCAAAACAAUUUGUGGAUUUCAGCAUGACUUUAACUAUAAAAUAGGAAAUAUGAAGUGGUCGUGAUUUGUAGGAACAAGAAUUAGAUGACAUUCGGGCAAUACAUAGGUCAUUUGUUAUAUCAUUACUGCAUAAAUAUAAUGUUAAUUGACUUAUAAUUUGGCUUAACUUUCAAUCUUUCCCAGCUGACUUGUGUGACUUAUGAUUUUGAAUCUUUGAAUCAUGAACACAUGAAAUGUCUGACGACACGACGAGGGGAUCCCUGAGUGCUAUAUGUGCACUGAUGACAGGGGUAUAUGCGACCAUUAUCCUCACUUAGACAAUGGUACGUCCUUCACUGUCAAGCUAACGGAGAACUUUGAAAUUGUUACGGUGUGAAAAGACGGCACAUAUAUUUUUUUGGAAUGAAGCAUGACGUGUGUACUUUUGCUUUAAUUAACAUGUAAUUUUCUUUUGUACAAUUCGACUAGUGUGUUCCCUGUCAUGCAAGACUCAAUGUCUUGGACAAGUUUCAUUUCAAAGAGAGGGAGAGUACGAAGACUAAGAUAGCUCACCUAAACACGGACCAUUACACUCUUGUUGUUAAGGUAAAGAAUGGAGUAGAUACACAUAUUGUGGUUAUUCUUCUUGGAGAGCAUUUUGCAAGGCGUACGGGUUUAAGGAGGACAAGAACAUUACCUUCGAUCUUGGUCAUGACGAUGAUCGCGAUAAUAAUAUCGAAAUAUGGGUGCAUGUGAAUCACUUGAUUUCAGUUCUGCCUAGAGUGAGUUUGUCAACAAAUUUGGUAGGUAAUUUAUAUUGAUUAUUGAAAAGAAUUUGAUAUUCAUCCCGACUAUAAACAUAUUUAUUUUUAAUUAUUAGCUUAUUUGUCUACUUCAAAAACUGCACAGUAGAUUGAACCUACUACGGUUAUGACUCCGAGCAUACUUGGUUGGAGAAAAAUCAUCUGAUCUUAUUUAUUCAUUAUGUUGAGCAUUAUAAAAUCAAUUACAUGUUUGGUAAUAAUUAUCAUGGUAUGUGUCAGUAGUGCAUAAGUUGAACCAUUCCAACAUCACUUCAAACUACUUUGUAAGAAUGUUUUUACUAUUUAGUUACUCGUACAUCUUUUCCAUACAUUCUUAAAAAAACAAGUUUGCCAACUAUAUUAUUUUUAUUUAUGUUCUUGAAAGGUACUCCCUCCAGUGACUGUGCCUAAAGUGAUAUUUAUCUCGAUGACACUAUACUAGGGAAAAGCCUAGUAGUACCAUGGGUUUUCCCGUCGCCGUAGCGCGGGUUCAUGUGCUACUGCUACAGCAUUACAACUAACAUUUAGCAGUAGUACGGGUCAGAAGAUGCGAUAAUACUAACGUGCAAUAGCAGUAGCGUACUUUUAGAAGCCGCGCUAUUACUAACGUGCACUAGUAGUAGCGUUCUUUUAGAAGUCGCGCCACUACUAAACGUGUGUAUUUCUCUUUUUGUAUUUGUAUUGUAUUUACACACGGUUAUACAUAUUAAUAUCUAACAUCAAUAAUAAUUGUGCACAGAAGAAUAUUUAGAUUAAAGUGGAUGGAUGUACUAAUCAAGUUCGGUUAGGGGGAAAAUAUGAUGUUAUGAAUCGCAACAUCAUAUUUUUCUCUAAUUCAACUUGAUCACUUGCAUCCAUCCACUUUAAUCUAAUAUAUGUCGUAUAACUUAUCAUCCUCUUAAUCAUCUAACAACUCAUCAUCGUCUUAAGCAUCUAACAACUCAUCAUCAUUUCAAUCAUCUAACAACUUAUCAUAAUCUUGAUCAUCAUCUUAAUCAUCUAACAAUGUAUCAUCAUCUUGAUCAUCUAACCAUUAGUACAUAAUGUCAUAAACUAGAAAAUGUCAUCUCUCUUAUCUAGCAUAUAUUAUUCUCUCCUAGGCAGAACCUACUACUCUCUACUGGGUAAAAUAGCAUAAAAAGGUAAGCUCCACUCUCUCCAUUGUGAAGAAUAGAGAUCCACUUAUAUCCGACAUGUUGCAUGCGCAUAUCCUUUGUGUCUCGGCCAAGUAGUUGUUCACGGUUUUUAAAUUUCCAAAUCCUUUAAGUUUCAGGCUUCCAUCCCUUCUACAAAGCGAGUAUAGAUUGCAGAAACAUAUAUGCCACCGUGGUCGUAAGCCGAUACCACUCAAAUGACGACCUUCUAUAGUCAUCAGUUAUGGCACAAUAGCAUAGUUAGUAAUCUAGUUUUUCUUAAGAAAUAAUUAUGUAUGCAAAGGGUGGACUAAUUAAUGACACAAUAGUAAUAAAUAAUCUUACGAUGCUAUCUACAUGGAAAUUAUUAGGGUUUAACUCGUGCACUAGUAGCACGUUUCAGAAUAUCUUUCGCCAAUAUCUUCAUAUUUGUUCUUAUAAUCAUCAACAUCAUCAAUAAAUGAGAUCCGAUGAUUUUUCUCCAACCAAGUUAGAUCGGAGCUAGGACUAUAGUGAGUCUUGUUUACUAUCUUUUGAGUUUUUUUAAGAAGAGAAAUAAGUGUCAAUUAAAAAUAAACAAGUUAAGUAGGGAUGAACACCAACUAUUUUUAAAUAAACAAUACAAAUUACUUAACAAAUAUGGCUGUGAAACUCACAUAGAGGUAAAACUGGACCUCUAUGUGUUUUGAGGAUCGUUAGAUCGUGUUUUGAGGAUCCAAAUUAGAUCGAGUUUUUGCUCAAAUCGGUAUCCGCUAGAUUACGGCCAUCCGCUGUUUUAACUCCGAACAAGUUUCAACUAGUAGUAUAGCGCCAUGUGGCCAGGGACCCAGAUUCAACGAAAGCCCCCACAAAUUUGUCCCUGGAUUUCACGGAUCAGUCCCUGUACUUCAAAACCUUAUAACUAUUUAAUGGUAACUCCGAUUUAAGUGAUUCUUUUUGCAAAAUACUCUUUACGAGACCAUAUAUCAUGCAACUUCAAAACCAUAUAACUAUUUAAUUGUAACUCCAAUUUGAGUGAUUCAUUUUGCAAUAGUCCUGAUGAGACCAUAUAUCAUGCAAAAUACUCCUUUUUGCAAAUUUCUUAAUUUCAACAAGUAAACUUUAUUAAAAUUAAAAUAUUGUUAAAACCUUUAUUUGAUCAUAACUUUCAAACCGUAGUUACCUUUUGAGUGAUUCUUUUUUGCAUGUUGAAUUACUUUUCAAACCCCUCCUAUCAUGCAACUUAUAUUCACUUCAUCAUAUAUUCAUUCAAAACGAAUUACAAUUUGAACCUUAUUCCAGCCAUAAAUUUAAUUCUAUCAAAUCUUUUGACCUAAUUCUUUUACCGGCAAUCCUAAGACAACAUGAGAGUCUGCAUUAGAAAUAACACCUAGUAUGUUGCGAUCCUGUAUGCACUAUGCCAUAUUUUGUUCUUGUGUUUAUUUGGGUUCUACUAUAUGGCAUGGUUGUUUAUUUGGACUUUGUUUGCUUACGAUAGAUGCACCGGAGAGCGACGCAUAUUAAUAUCAAACUUUAUAUUAAAUCAAGUGAAGACCAAGGUAAGUUACAUCUUGAUCAUUUCUUGUAUACGAAUGUUUUCUAUGCAUUUAGUCCUCUUUGAUGUAGUAUGCAUUAUUAGGAUUUAUGCCAGAUCUCUAUGCUAUACACCCAAUAUUUACUGAGGUAAGUCUAAGCCUUUCCCCAUUGCCGCCAAUGUUGUAGGAGUAACUGCUAUGCUAAAGUAGACGUGGAUUGGGAACUGAUUCAUUAUGAACUAUGAGUGACAUUGUAUUAAAUAUGACCAAGUAAAUAUUAAUGAAUCAUCUGGGUGGAUUGGUUUGAAGGAGAGGGGCAACCUGGGGUACCAGUGUGAAUUGCUCGGGUAUAUCCUAUGGUAUCCAGGGGUUCACUCUUAUUUGGAAUGACACCCCGGGUCAAAGGGAUCAAACAAUUUUUCAUAACUAGAAGCUUGCAUGUGCAAACAGAAGCUACUAUGGGAUCUGGCUUAGUUGAGUAUGUUGUGUGACCUUCUCUGGGAUAGGCUAACAGAUGUAGAUAUAUAUGUAGGUGUACCGGCCUAUCCGUGGGUUAAGGGAAACAAUUUAGAGAGACUAUGUCUCGAUCUUACAGCUCUCAAACAUCAGGCAAUGUGAGAACUACAAAGGAGGUGGUCGAGUCUUGUGGAUAAAAGUGCACAAACCACUGUGGGGUAUCAACCUAAUUGAUUUGUCGUGUCUCCGGUUACAGACAAUUUGAGCUUCUAGAAGUGGGAUACUGAGUGAUCUCGUCACCUUUAACUAAUCGAUUGGGUUUAAACAACUUGGGUAUAUAUAGAUUGAUUUGGGGGAACCAUCUCAAUCAUAUGAUGUGAUUUGUAGUAAUAAAAGUGGUAUUCAUGAUAGUACGUAGGACAAAAUCAGCUUUAUGCAAAUUGAGACUUAGAAGCUUCCACCAGCCAAAUUGCAUGUAGAGGCGGGACUUUUAUACUUUCCUAUGGCAUGACUUGCCAAUACGUUCACUGUAUUGACCUAUAUGGUUGCAGCGUUUUAUGUUGAAGAAUUUACAAACGGGGAGUAAAAGUACGAAAUAGGGUCAUGUCUACACUCAACUUUGUCGUUGAUGUUGAUGGGACUCCACAUCUUUAUUGUUGUUGCUACUGUGUGUUCUAGCCCGUUAAUGGGACUCCACAUCUUUAUUGUUGUUGCUACUGUGUGUUCUAGCCCAGGAGCUAUAAGGUAAUAAAUACUAUAGAUCUGCGUUGCUUUUCACGUUUGAUUCUAUCGCAUUUCAUCGAGUACUAUGCGUCCUAGCUACUGAUCCAGGGAUAGCACAAAAGCACUUGAGAUUUGGUUUCUUAUUGAACCGGGUCGUUUCUGUAUAUGAGAAAUAUUCAAUUUAAAAAGUUAUUAAUAACAUAUAAAAAAUAUGUUUCUGACAUUGUAGGAAAACAUUCGAAAACUUAAUACUUGUUUGCAGAUUAAAAAAUGAUCAUGAAUUUGUUGUAAAAUAUUUAGCAUCGGCUUUUAGAUGUUCAUUGUGUAAUCAAAUUAUAUUCAAUGUGCAUUUUAGAUAUGUUCAACAUGUAUUUAGAUAAAUGUUCAACAUGUAUCAAAAAAUUAUUCAAUGUUUAUCUAAAAACAUUGAAUUCGUAUGUGAAAGAUGUUCAAUGUGUAUUCAAAAAAACUACAAGAUGCAUUUCUAAAAGAAAAAAAUUGAAGAAAACACCGAAAAAAGAGAAAAGAACAAAAAAAAACAUGUAGCAAAACAGGGCAAAACAUUUCGUAAGCCGAACGUCAGAAGGUUCCUAAAUGGCACGAGUACACGAUGGUGUGCUGGUGUGGUCGUCGAUCAGUUGAGAAGAGCAUUGCUACAAUCUCACAAUAAGCAAGACGUAGCAUUUGGGGCAAAUGACACGCCAUUGGAAAUGAAGAAAUGUUUCAUGUUACUACUGGUGAAGACCUCCGCCAUUUGGGCUUCUACUUGGAAUGGCCCGAUUGAUAAAAAUACCCAACCUAACGUUGUUAAAUAGACACUCCUCCUCAAAACAAGAUUAAACAGGCGCUAAACAUUUAGGUUAUUAGUUCCUCCUUCUCAAAAUAAGUGUCUGAACUUUGUACUAGUAUCUCAACUUUGUACUAAGUUUAGUACAAAGUUGUACUACUACACUUAUUUUGGGAUUACAAGUUCAUAGGAACGGAGAAGCCAAUUGCAUGCAAGUCAACUAAUAAAGGCCCAACAUAUAAAUACAUUAAAUGCCCAACAGAUACACAGAACGGAAAAAAAAACCACGCAUCAAAUUGUACGGGGAAAAUGUUCAAUUUGAAAAAUAUUACUAACAUACAAAAUAUGUUUCUGACAUUCUAGAAAAACACUCAGACACUUAAUACUUGUUUGCAGAAAAAAUUAUGGUCAUGAAUUUUUUGUGAAAUGUUUAGCAUCGGCUUUGAAAUGUUCAUUGUGUAUUAAAUUAUAUUCAAUAUUCAUUUUACAUGUGUUCAACAUGUAUUUAGAUAAAUGUUCAACAUUUAUCAAAAAAUGUUCAACGUUUAUCUAGAAGCGUUGAAUUUGUAUGUGAAAGAUGUUCAACAUCCAUUCAAGAAAAUCGAGAUGCAUUUUUAAAAGGGAAAAUUGAAUAAAACCCCAGAAACACUAAAUAGAAGAGAAAAGGAGAAAAUGCAAAUAGAAAAAAUAUGUUGCAAAACAGGGCAAAAAGUUUCACGAGCCGAACGUCAGAAGGUUCCUAAAUGAUACGAGUACACCAUAGUGGGCCGGCGUGGUUACCGAUCACUUGAGAAGAGCAUUGAUACAAUAUCACAAUAAGCAAGAUGUAGCAUUUGAGGCAAAUGACCCCGCCAUCAGAAAAUAAGACAUGUUCAAUGUGAGGACCUCAAAUGCGCUUCUGCUGGGAGUGGCCUGAUGGAUAAAAAUACACAACUAAACUUUUUUAACCUGGCACACCUCAAAAAAAAUUAAUGGAUGUUAAACAUUUAGACUACUAGUGACACCCUUUUAAAAUAAGUGUCUCAACUUUAUAUUAGAGUUUAGUAUAAAGUCAUACUAACUUUGAAACACUUAUUUUGGGGCUACAAGUUAGUAGGAAGAGAGAGGCUAACUGCAUACACGUCAACUAAUUAAGGCCCGACAGACAAAAAUAAUCUAUCUAAAAAGACAGAUAAAAACAAAGGGCGUCAUAAUGGGUCUACAGGCCGAGUUAAAAGUAACAUAGAGGCUAAUUGCAUGCAAAUCAACUAAUUGAGGCCCAACAGAUAAAAGGAAACUAUCAAAAAAAGAUAGAUUAAAGAACACUACUAAGCAUGCACAUCAAACACCUAGCAAGCAUAAACACUACUAUCCUGCCUAGGAGCAGUACCUCCCAAGAAUGGAUCGAAUCAAAUUGGAAUUGAAUCGAGUCGAAUCAAAUCGAAUCCAGUGAAUGCUAAUGAUGAUAUCAUAAUCUACACAUGUACGAGCAGAGAGGGGGUUCCAUUCUUACCGGAGUGGCUGGAGCAUAUGUCGAACGAGGAGAAAACCUGGCGGGGGAGAGGGGGGGGGGGGAGAUAGCCGCUUAAAAGGAGGAGGAGCCGCCAAUGCCAACGAUCGUCGGCAUUGGCCCGGUGCUCGUGUCCAUGCAUGCGGUCGAGGACGAGGGCUCCGGCAUCCAUGGAGCAAACCCUCGGAUGGCGGUAAAAACUCCACCAAUAGGGGUUCGAACCAGGGAAGCAGUGGCCGCCCCCUCUGACGGCGCCACCGAACUCAAGACGGGAUACGACGGCAGAGCCAAAGCGGCGGGCACUGCAUUGGCCUGACAUGGUGGCCUGAUGCUGCGUGGAGACGGCGCUCGCAGGUCCUCCAUAAGUUCCACCCCGGAGUUUGCCAAGUAAGAAACCCACCGCUAGUGGAUGUGGUUCUGGUCGGCGCCCAUGAGGGUCAGCAGAGGGUGCGGCGGAGGGCGAUUCAUCGGAGGAGAGGAGAACACAUUAUAGCAGCAGGCGGUGAGGAGAAUGAGAGCGAGUGGUGUGAAUGAAGGAGUGGGCGGUGACACAAGAGGGAGAGAGAGUUAUGAGACGUUCCGUCCAUCUCACGCGCACCUCGAGGCAUGCAGUGAAGAGCUACGCAUGGCCGCGCUCAGCCUGGCGGGAGAGAAACUGCCGAUUCGAUAGUAGCUCGGGACUGCUUUAAAUUUCAUGUGGGCCCAUAGGUCGGUGUAGCCUAGGCAACCAAACAACACAUUUCUGUCCCACGGAGGCCUGGUUGGCCUAAAUGCGAGCAAAAAAACGCAUCACGUGUGUGUCUUGUAAGCCAAGAUCGUUUCCCUGUCUCUCGACUUAUAAACUGGCAUAAGCCGAGCAUUUGGUUGUUACCCAUUGUAUUUUAGGGAGGACACUCUCUUAGAUGAAUAUAAACCAAAUAUCAAAAAAACGAGCUUGGCUUAUAGCUUCCCAUACGGGAAAACAUGAAUUUUUUGUAGUGGUUAUAAUUUAUUCAACCAGAUAAAAAUAUAAAUAAGUGGCCUCUUUUUCCGUGCUUGAUCAAACAUCAGUACAAAUUAUGAAAAAACAACAUUCAAUAUCAGUACAAAUUAGAUGGAUGCAAGAGACCAAGUUGAAUUAGAAGAAAAUACGAUAUUGCGAUUCGCAACAUCGUGUUUUCCUCUAAUUCAACUUAGUCUCUUGCAUCCAUCUAAUCUAUACUAGUAUAUGUCAUAUAACAACUCAUCAUCAUCUUAAUCAACUCCUCAUCAUUCUAGUUGUUAACAUACUAGCUAAUUAAGCAGCUCAUCAUCAUUGUAGGUAAAAUAGCAUAAAAAUUUAUCUAGCUUCACAAAGAAAUAAAAUAUCAAAAUAUCAAAACAAGAGGGUGUUUUGUGUAAAUCUGAAGCAACAUGACUUAAUGUUGUUCAAAUUAGAGACCAUAUUAUAGCACCAGAAUCCUUUCAAGAUUCUUAUAAAAAUGUCAAAAUAGAUACAAUUAUUAAUUACUUGUGAUUUUAAUAAAUUAUAGGGCCGUAUAUGCAAAAGAACAUGAGCUCGCAUUAUUAACAUAUUAGAUAACAAAUACAAACUACAUAUUCAUAAUAUAUGAAUUUUUUACCCCAAAUUGAUAUAUAAUUUACGUAUGUUUAUGUUAAGAUAAGUUAUAUUUAAGUUAACUAAAGAUUAAUUUAAAUAAAUGCUAAUAAAAAUCAGAUAACAUAUAUACGGUGGCGUCCGCCCGAGGAUGCAACCAAAUGUCAACACGUGGCGAGGAUAUGCCGACGGCCUGACAGUCGGCAUACCUAUGUUGAUGGCCACCGUGAGAGCGGUCGGAAAAGAGUUCACGGCAUCAACCCACCAUCUAUCACCGGGCCGUUGGGUCCAUGUAUAUGCCGAUGACUGCCCUAUGCUGACAGCCACCGUAUGCAUAGCUUGAUCUCUGCCGACGUCCUUCCUAUGCCAACGGGGCUGUAGACAUGCAUUAACGUAUGCCGACAGUUUUUCUGCCGCGAAGUUACCCGUCAGCCAUCGGCAUAGGGAAAUCUAUUCCAAUGGCCCCGUCGGCAUAGAUUGUGCCGCCGGGAAAGAACUUUAUUCCGAUACUGAUACUAGGCAUGCAUCAGGUUAUUACCAGAUUCAGUUCCGGUGAUAAUUGAGCUUUUUUGUUGGUUUGCUUGCAGGCCAACAGAUUAUUCUCAAAUGGAACCAGAAACACUUCUUUACAGCUAAACAGAAUUUUAAUCAGCUCCUAUCUAUGUUGGCCACCUCACCGGAGGAGAAGAUACGUUCGAGAUGUCCGGAGCUGAGCUAAGUAUGCAGUGUUUGAUUCCAGUGAAACGAAAGGUAAGGCAAGUGAUCUUAGAGUUACAUACAAGUCGAACACAUGAAAAUAACUGAAGGCGCAACUUUGCGUCUGUGUGCACGGACGGGAAUGGAAUGUUUGGUUCCUGGGUGUAUAUUCAUACUAUAUACAAAGCAAAUCCAGUUUAACAAAAAAUAUUAUGAAAAUAUUUUUAAAAUAAAUGUGAAAUUUCAUUAAACUUGUAAGAAAAUUUCCAAACAAAAAAAAUACGCUUCAUCUUCUUUUCAAAAAAGACAAUUUUUCAGUUAAAGUAGUGUGAAUAGUGACCUAUAAUAACAAAUAAAUUUUGUUUUCUUGCCGAGAAGUCAAUGUUGUCUUUUUUCUUGAAAAUUUAUAUACUAGUGUAAAACAAAGUCAAGUUUAAUCUAAAAAUACUUCUGUACUAUUUUAAUUUUUCAAUUAAUUAUUAAAAAAUCCUCAUAUAAGGUGCAUAUACAAUCAGGAAGUAAUGUGUGUUUCCUCUGUGUGCACUAUGUUAUUUCGAGAUUGCAAUACUUUCAUGCUACAGCUUGUCCAUAAUAUUUUUCGGUUUUCGCAUGUUUUUCUGGUGCUCUUCAAUCUGCUACCAGUAAAAUGUAUCGAAGAAGUUCUGGCAUGGCAUGGGGUUGGACACAGAUACAAGUGUUUGCAUGUAGCUCAGUAGUUGUCCGGUUUAGUUGAGUAGUAGGUAGACACCAAUGCAUGUAGGAUCGUGUGAGUAGCCAGCCAAGUGAUAUGGUUGAGUCAUGUGUUAUAUAUUGAAGUGAUUCCAGGACUGGUGGUAUGAGGCGGGAGUUUACUUGAGUCUAACAACAUAUGCAUGCAACCAAGUUUGCCAUAUAAGAGAAGUAAAGAGCAGAGAAGAAGGUUGUGAGGGCAGGAAACAAUGUACUAGUCACGAAGGAAAAAUGCCUCUGAGCAAAGUAGAUCUGUGAUUUUCUCUCUAUUGUGAUCGUGAAGUAAAUAGCUGUGAGAACUGAGUUGCAGCUCCAACAGUUGGUUAAGAAGGGGUAUGUGAGAUAGUGGAGGAAACCAAACACUGAGAUAUGAGCAGUUGGCUUUUGUGCAGUAGUAAGACUAAAGUUCAAGCGAAUUAUCUGCUUAUGUAUCCUUGGUCCAGGCCUUGUUUAGGCGAGCCCCUGCUUGAACCUGGCCUGGAGUAAUCUGAAACGCGUGGAAUCUGUACCGUGGGAAAGUUCAAAUCCUAACCUAGCCUUGUUUAGGCGAGCCCCUGCAACUUCUAAGCGUGAUACAUCACUAAGCAUAAAAUAACACCAUACUAUAUCCAGUUGAAGCAUUGGCACAUGAUCAACUCUCUGCAGAAUAUGAAUGGAGCGUAAGUAAAAUAUUUCAGCAGUCUAUUUGAUAGAGGUAACAGAUAAUUCUUCUGACAGUUCAAGUUACCUCAGUGAGUUUAUUGUCACAAAGAGAAAAGGCCUCCUGGCAAAACAACAGAUGCAUCAGUAAAUAUACAGCUAUUUAACAGGCAUGCUUCUUACAGUACGGCCAAAACAAUCACAUAAGGCAGUAUACCUCAGACAUCAUCGAAACAUCUGUUGGCUCUAACAGCUGCUGGAGAAGAAGAAGUUCAGAAAUUCAGAAAGUUUUCAGUGUCGAACUCUCGUCAGUUUCGACAGUCGUUUUCCCUCUUUCAGUUAGAAUAACCGAGCUGCGCCUCGGCCGUAGUUUGUUAGCUGUUAUCGCGGCCUUGACUUGAUCGUGGGAUGGCACGAAGUAGUUGGUCAAGGCCGUUAGACGUGCGACGCGCGAGGAUCGCUGGGAUGGCAGCGAUCGUGACUCGGGCCUCGCUAGUUUUCCCUUACUUUCAGGAGUUUCGUUGUAGCUCUGAAUAAAAAGUAACGAGACCAGAAAAGCUGCAGUUGUUCGCAGCGCAAAACACUCUCCCUCACUGCAAUCGUGAUCUCACCUCUCUCUCUACUAUCUCCUCUCCCAACAAGUGGCAUCAGAGCCUGGGGUUUAGGUCCCUGAGAUGGCUGGUGAUGGGGGCAAGAAGAAGGUGGGGGACGCCGACGAUGACGGUAGCAAAGGCUCACCGAAGUACGCAGCCGGCCAAGGGCGCGAGCUGGCACUGGCGAGGCAGUUUGCUCCGGUCACGUCGGGCCACGCCAACGUGCCACCAUUGACCCGCACGAACUACGCCGAGUGGAGUCUCCUGAUGGAGAUCGGCAUGCAGGCGCGAGGGAUGUGGCGCGCGAUUGAGGGUGCGGAGGACCUCGAUGAGGAGUUCGGCUACCGCAACGACAAGGGCGCGAUGGAGUUCAUUCUCCGAUCCAUGCCACCCGAGAUGCUGCCCAUGUUGCGCAAGCACAAAACUUCUCAGGAGUUGUGGGAGGCGAUCCGGGCUAUGCGUGCAGGCUCUGCGCGAGUCCGGGACGCCAAGGCCCAGACCCUCCGAGGACAAUUCGAUCAGCUACGGCACAAGGCUGGUGAGUCCAUUGACGAUCUGGUGAUGCGUCUGACAGGGCUGUGCGCGCGGCUCGGCGAGCUCGGAGAUGAGAUCAGCGACAAACGCGUGAUCCAGAAGUGGCUGCGCAUCGUCCCCAAGCGAUACUCGCAGCUUGCAGUGUUCAUUGACAAUCUGGUCGAUCUGGACACGACGACCAUCGAGGAAAUCAUCGGCCGUUUCAAGGCGGCCGAGGAGCGCUACGAGCUGGACGCCGAGGAGGAGGGCGGCAGCAAGCUCCUGCUCACUCUGGACGAGUGGAACGCGCGCCAAGGACGCGGUGAUCAGGGAGGGUCCUCCAACGGGGGAGCCAACGGCGGCAAGAAGGGGCGAGGAAAGGGUUCCGGCGACCGCGGCAAACCUGCUGCCCGUCCUGGCGGCGGCAAGCCUGCUCCCAGACGCCAGGGCAACUGCAGAUACUGCGGUAUUAGCGGCCAUUGGGUCCGCGAAUGUCGCAAGAAGCAGAAGGAGGAGGGCGGCGGCGGCGAAGUGCACCUUGUGGCUGCUGAAGACGAAGACCCUGCGCUCCUCAUGGCGCAGGUAUCCCCCUUCCCGGCGAGCCCGUGCUGAAACCACCAGGCGUCGAGGUCGUGCAUUUGGACGAGGAGCGCGCUGAUGUGUGCCUCGGCGCUGACGGGGACGUCAAAGAACCCCGUUGGCACCUGGACACUGGCGCAUCCAAUCAUAUGACGGAGAACCCCACAGUGUUCUCCGAGCUGGACCGACACGUCGGCGGCACUGUUCGUUUCUGCGACGGGUCGGUGGUGGAGAUCGAAGGGCGCAGGACGGUGGUGUUCGUCGCACACGGAGGGCGACACCGGGUGCUCUCCAGGGUGUACUACAUACCGCGCCUCCGGACGUCNCGGCAAGGGGCAGAAACCGCCUCUACACCGUCGAGCUGGAGAUCACAAGGCCAGUUUGCCUGACGGCUACGGCUGGGGAGGAUGCAUGGCGCUGGCAUGAGCGCUAUGGGCAUCUCAACUUCAACUCGCUUCGCAGGCUGGCUCAGGGCGACAUGGUACGCGGGUUGCCGGCGGUCGAGCAUGUGGACCAGAUCUGCGAUGGAUGUCUCGUUGGCAAGCAAAGGCGAGCCCCCUUUCCUGCCGAGGCCAUCUAUCGAGCUGGUAACCGCCUUGACCUGGUUCAUGGAGAUCUCUGCGGGCCCAUCUCUCCACCAACACAUGGUGGGAAGAGGUACUUUCUGCUCCUGGUCGAUGACAAAUCUCGUUUUAUGUGGAUUGUCUUGCUGAGGAGCAAGGAUGAAGCCCCGGCGGCGAUCAAGCGCUGGCAAGCUGCUGUCGAGGUGGAGACCUCCAUCAAGCUUCGUGUGCUGCGGACCGACAGGGGUGGCGAGUUCACCUCCACAGAGUUCGGGGAAUACUGUGCAGACCGCGGCGUACGUCGGCAUCUCACCGCACCAUACUCCCCACAGCAGAACGGGGUGGUGGAGCGACGGAACCAGUCCGUCGUGGGCAUGGCACGGUGCCUUCUGAAGUCGAAGGGAGUACCAAACAAGUUUUGGGGGGAGGCGGUGGUUACGGCCGUCCACCUGCUGAACUGUGCGCCGACGAAGGUGGUGCGGGGCAUGACCCCGUACGAGGCGUGGCAUGGGGAGAAGCCUACCGUGGGGUACUUCCGCACGUUUGGAUGCAACGCCCACACCAAGAUCACCAGGCCAGGGGCAAAGAAGCUGGAUGAUCGCAGUCUGCGGACUGUUUUCAUCGGCUACGAGCAUGGGCAAUCCAAGGCCUGGCGUGUUUAUGAUCCUGUGGGCAAGCGAGUUCACGUGACUCGCGACGCCGUUUUUGACGAGACGGCUAGCUGGGAGUGGGAGACUCCGGUGCAGGCGCAGGGCUCUUUCGUCAUCGACUUCACCCCGACUGUGGCCUUGCCACAGGUUGGGGAAACGGAUACGCCAGCACACCCCGCAUCUCCUAUGCACGCGCACACACCUGCGCGGGGCGACGGCGAAGGAGACGGAACCGGGGGGCAGUAUGUCUCUCCCCCUCCAGGAGCUACACCUGACAUGGAGCUGGGUGGCGAUGAAGCACCACGCCGUUAUCGCAUGCUCGACGCUGUUCUUCAGGAAGCAGAGCCAAGCGAAGCGGAAGCAGCUACACUACUCCUGGUGGCCGGGGAAGAGCCAAACACAUUUGAGGAGGCGGAGCCACACACAGCGUGGCGAGAGGCCAUGCUCGAUGAGAUGCAGUCCAUCAUCGACAACCAGACCUGGACACUCACUACUCUUCCCCCGGGCAAGAAGGCAAUCGGGGUGAAGUGGGUCUACAAGCUCAAGAAGAAUUCUGAGGGGGAGAUCAUCAAGCAUAAGGCGAGACUUGUCGCAAAGGGCUACGCGCAGCGACCAGGGGUAGACUACGACGAAGUGUUUGCUCCGGUGGCGCGGCUUGAGUCCGUGCGACUGCUCCUCGCGAUAGCUGCACAAGCAGGAUGGGAGGUUCACCAUCUCGACGUCAAGUCAGCCUUCUUGAAUGGAGAACUGCAGGAGGAGGUUUACAUGGUGCAGCCACCAGGUUUCGAGCGCGCUGGUGAGGAAGGGAAAGUGCUCCGCCUGUCCAAGGCACUCUACGGCCUCUGUCAAGCGCCGCGUGCCUGGAACAUCAAGCUGGACGAGACGCUGGUGUCUUUCGGUUUCCAGCGAAGCCCGUCCGAGCACGCCGUCUACAUGCGGCGCAACGGCGACGAGAGCCUGCUGGUGGGCGUCUAUGUUGACGAUCUCAUCAUCACUGGUUCAAGCAAGGAAGGAAUCCACUGGUUCAAGCAGCAGAUGCCGUCCACUUUCUCCAUGAGUGACCUCGGAUUGCUAAGCUAUUAUCUUGGCAUCGAGGUGCAUCAAGGAGACGAUGCCAUUACUCUCAAGCAAGCGAGCUAUGCGGCAAAGAUCGUGGAAAAGGGAGGAAUGACGGGAUGUCACCCUGUGCAUGUCCCGAUGCAGCCGCGGCUGAAGCUGAGCAAGGAGAGCACAAAUCCACCGAUAGAGAAGAAGCUCUAUCGCAACAUAGUUGGGAGUCUUCGCUAUUUGGUACACACAAGACCUGACAUUGCGUUUGGAGUUGGCUAUGUCAGCAGGUUCAUGGAGGCUCCCACGACUGAGCACUGGGCGGCUGUUAAGCACCUGCUGAGUUACGUGUCUAGAACGCUGAACUAUGGAUGCAAAUACAAGAAGAGGGGUGUCGAGCCACAGCUGGUGGGCUACAGCGACGCAAAUUUUGCUGGAGAUGUUGAUGACAGGAAGAGCAUAUCAGGGACAGUGUUCGUCUAUGGGGGAAGCGCGAUCAGUUGGCAAUCUCAGAAACAGAAAGUGGUUGCUCUCUCCUCCUGCGAAGGCGAAUAUAUGGCAGCAACGACAGCUGCUUGCACUGGUGUCUGGCUCCGGCAAAUGCUCGCAGAUCUUCUCGGGGAACCUCAAAGGAAGACCAUGCUGCUCAUCGACAACAAGUCUGUGAUCCAACUUUGCAAGAACCCUGUCUUUCACGACAAAACCAAGGACAUUGAGACUCGGUUUCACUUCAUUCGCGAGUGUGUGCAGGACGGAAGGGUGGCCGUCGACUAUGUCCACACCGGCGAGCAGCUCGCCGAUAUUCUCACAAAGGCUCUGCCUCGAGAGAAGUUCCAGGAACUGCGAGAGAAGUUGGGCAUGGUAAACCUCAGCAGCUGAUUAGGGGGGAGAUUGUUGGCUCUAACAACUGCUGGAGAAGAAGAAGUUCAGAAAUUCAGAAAGUUUUCAGUGUCGAACUCUCGUCAGUUUCGACAGUCGUUUUCCCUCUUUCAGUUAGAAUAACCGAGCUGCACCUCAGCCGUAGUUUGUUAGCUGUUAUUGCGGCCUUGACUUGAUCGUGGGAUGGCACGAAGUAGUUGGUCAAGGCCGUUAGACGUGCGACGCGCGAGGAUCGCUGGGAUGGCAGUGAUCGUGACUCGGGCCUCGCUAGUUUUCCCUUACUUUCAGGAGUUUCGUUGUAGCUCUGAAUAAAAAGUAACGAGAGCAGAAAAGCUGCAGUUGUUCGCAGCGCAAAACACUCUCCCUCACUGCAAUCGUGAUCUCGCCUCUCUCUCUACUAUCUCCACUCCCAACAACAUCCAGUGCCUCCUUAUACAUGUUCUUCUUGAUAAGAACUUUUGCCUUGUGAUGAAGCAUUAGAGCCAUCUUCAAAGCCCUAGAGAUAACACAGAUGAUGAGCUGGAUAUUAUAAACUACUGUACAUGAGAAACCCAUUGAACAGAAGGUUGCAUAUAUAUUACUCCCUCCGUCCCAAAAUAACUGUCUCAACUUUGUACUAAGCUUAAGACACUUAUUUCGGGACGGAGGGAGUACUUCAUAUCUUCUGGAGAUCCAAACAUCACUUUUUGGCCACUCUGGUCCUCGAGAGCUAUGUUGAAAUUUUCAUCAAGGAGAGAGCCGUCUGAAUGCCUUUGAGAUAAUGCUUGUGGAGCAUCCCUACAAAACAAUAUGGUCUUCUGUUACUGAGGAACACACAUUUGCUCUCCACCUAUUCUGAACUACUAACACUUUAUACAAUGCACAACAUACAACUAAUCAUCACAAUCACACAUCCAAUCAAGGCGCACAAUCUAUCUAUACUCUCAGCCUUCCUUCAGGUUCAGUAGGAGUUCUAUCCCACAACUCAUUUUGUUCACUUACUAAAUUUCUGAAUUAUACAGAUUGUGCAUUAUGGUCUACUCAGUAGAUGUUCUCUCCCCCCUCGAGGCCCAAACGCUAGGGUGGGUGGCGUCUGCCCCUGAUGCCCAAACGCCAGGGGGUGGCGUCCGGCCAUUUGCCACGUCAGUUGAUUAACGAAAUUGGAGUAUCAUGCGGGCCCGAGCCAAACGUCAUGGUCCGUGGCGUCUCCCGUGCAACCCAGACGCCAGGGAUGUUGGUGUCACGUAAAAAGGUUAGAUCAGAAUAUUUUUUUUGAAUCUAAGGUCAGAUUUGUACUUUGUUAGCCUCAAAGGUCAAAACAAAAAAAAAUUGUACUCCUAAAGUUACCAACGGCUUAAUUGUAAAGACAGUCUGGAGGCACCCACAUUUAGGACAGUAAAACUGAACCAAAUCCCUGCCCUCUCACGACAUCAUCAUUUUCGGCCGUCUAUUCUUGUGAUCGGGUACUUUUGGCCGUCGGAUCGCCUGUCCUAAAGGGUUGCUUCUCCACAGGUUUUUUCUAAGCUCUCUGGUUAACCGGGCCUUUUCAUCCAGCCCAACCAGUUAGAAAGCCCGGGAUCAAUCCGUCGAGAGACCACCGAUCGGUCGCUCUCCGUCCAAAAGAAAAAAAUACACUCGACGGCGUGAGGGGUGAAGAGGAUCCCCAUUCCUCACUGUGAGAAAGAGGGUCAUCGCGGGAGAGAUGGGAUCUGGAAAGCCGAUGCAGAUCGGACCUGCUAGAGAGAGAGAGUAGGGGAUGCACGAGGGGGAUAGGGGAUCGUCUCGCUCCUCUACCCACUCGAUUUCGAUGGCGUCCGGUGCAGUGGAACCUGUACGGCGGCGAUGAUGGGGGAUCCGGCACCACGGGAUCUGUGUGGAGGCGAUUAUUACGGAAGCAGAAAGGGCGAUGAUUGGACCACCAUCCUUGCCCUGUGCCUGUAGCAAGGCACCAUGGAAACACUCAAUCAGGCAAGAACAAAGGUGUGGCUCGUUUUCGCGUCCUCUGCUCCGGCCCUACUGGUUCACCAUUCGCGCUCACAACCAACCUUUCGUCCAGGCUCUCAGGUCGGGCGCUGACGGGGCACACAUGGAGUUGUCGCGGCAGGCGACAGGAUGGUUGCCAAGGGGGUGGACGACGUGUUGGGGUUCCUGAAGCCGUUCGUGAUGUUUGCCGUGGUGAGGAACAGGGAUGUCGUAUUCACAAUGUAUUUGAUUGCUCGGCGAGAGCUUGCUCCAUUUCGGCCGCAUGAAUGGGUAGCGGUGAGUAUGUAUUUUGAUCUUAUUCCCUCAUCUAUGUUAGUACUCAGUUUUCUGGAAUGUAAUUAUUGGCAAUGUUGCGAGGAAUCUAGGAGACAUACAAACCAUCUCAGUCAUUAUGCAUUCUGUUUGGGUUCGAGCAAUCCCGAAGAGGAUGGUUUAAUGAUAAUGUUUAGUCGGAUCAGUUUACGCAACUCAUUGUAUCUUGUACUUGUCAAUGCCUUAAAUGGGAAAUUAACUUACUCUUUGCGUGUUGUUGCCUGCAUUUCUUUUUCUCCAAGAAGGGCGGCUCUGACUUAGGCCUGAUCGAUGCUUAUAUGAUAUUACGGAGGAAGUUAGCACACCUGAGAAGGUACAUUCUUCCGCCUAUUUAAUUUGUGUAAUUAAUUGUAUUCCUACCUUAUUGAUAUUUGAAAAGAUGCAGUCAUGCACCUGAUUUUGUGUUGCACAUAUUAUUGCAAUGCAACCACCACAAACAUUUGUCCACCGAUUGACAUGUCGACCCAGUACUUGCGAACUAUGAGCAUCACACAAUAUCGCAUCACUUAAUAUCGCAUCGUAUUCAUCGUGCAACCCAAAUGAGAGCCACAAAAUAACAUGCAAAUGGAUAUUGCAACCGGUGUCCACUCUUCAUGACAAUGCUUUUGCCUGUGGUGACAAUGCGGUCCAAGAUGCGAGCUGUGUGGGAAACUACCCAGAUUCGACUGUGAGGACGACGACGAUAAACAGAGCUGCCUGCGUAGGAAAGACGAAUGAAAAUUGGCAGCACCAGCGCUGACAUAGUUGUCCAUCUAUCGGCCGGCUGCCAUGGGAGUAGCAGGCAGAACAGUUACGAGCACAUUCUCAACUUGCAUUUGAAAAUUAGAUAUGUUGCUUUGCUUCUCCUAGCCUACUGCUGCGAUAAUUUUUCUUGCUUGCUUCAUCUUGUUAUUUUUCUGUUUGCUGUUGGAUCUUAGUCUAGAUUGCGUUGGUUGGAUUUCACCCGGUUUUGCUCAUAUGAUUUAGCUCGUGGAUUUGGGGCUAGGAUUUAGAUAACGAAAAUUACAAAUCUUGGCCGGAUUUACGGAUCCAUGAAAAAGAUGGCAUGGCAAUAUAUUUAAUUGAAGAUGAGGAUUCCUGACAACAAAAGAUUGAAAUUAAUUUUGACUAAAGUACUACCAAUGCACGGUCUUUGUUCUUGGAGAUUUAACUUUAUAUGUUGGACUAUAUGGUGGCAUCUACAAUAUGAUUUGUUAAUCACUGAUAGCAGGGAUGUUUCUUCUGAUGAAAUACAUUUUUGUUGGCUUUGAUUGAAUGGUUCAUUUUGAGAGGCUAUGGCUGCAAAAUAUGUCUACUAACUCCAUAUCGCACAAUUGAUUAUGGUACAUAGUUGGAACAUAAAAUUGUGCUACCAUUUGCAAUCUCAAGAUUAGGUCUGCAUAACUAUCCACAUACAGACAAAUCUCCAUAACUUGAUAGUACAAUAAUGAUAUGCCAAAUUAUUAGCAUUGUGAUUUGGAAUAAAAACAGUUUAGGGAUCAUUUUCUUCUUCUUACAUUAGUAUUUGGAAUAAACACUCCCUUCGUUCUUAAUAUCUUUAGAUGAACGGUUGUUCAAACUGUAUGGACCUUACAUUUCUAGAGUUACUUUUCCUUACAUUAUACUUUAUGUUUUCUUGGGAUUCUUGACAAAUGAAUCAUCCCACUUCAUAUGCUUUUCUUGUUUGGAACCUAUUACAGUAGUCUGGCAUGAGGAUAGAUCAUUUGAUGCAUCUUAUCUGCAUGUGUACAGAUUUAUCAUAAUAUUACCCUUUAUGUUGCAUCCUUAGUUUAGCCCAGUAUUGCCCUCACAUACGUUGAUAUGUGAGCUUAAGAAGCUGUGAUUUUUGUAUAUGCACUGAACUAACGGAAGUUACCACUGAUUCUAUAGCUUUACCUGGAAAGAACUAAGAAUAAUGUACACUCAUAUUUCUAUAUUUUUAAAUAGUUAAGUUUAUUAUGUACAUGAUCAAGUGCAACAACACGGCUCACUAAACAGUACUCCCUCCGUCCAUAAUAUAAGAUGCUAUUACAUCCAAUAUACUUGCAGUGUCUUUGGUUGUUUUUAUUUAUAUUAAAUUUUUAUUUAUAUUCAUCUGAACAGAAAGACCAUGGUUUGGUUCUAUAUAUAUGUAGUACUUUCACUAAUUUUUUUUCCUAUACAAAUAUAGUGGACACAAGCAUUGAGAGUAUCAAAUGCGGCAAUUGAAGAGCUAAUCCAUCCACUCAGAGUGUUGUGAAACUUUCAACAUGCCUGUUGGUUAAUCUAUCUGCUGCUUAGUAGCGUCAAAUACUCCAUCCUCUAAUUGUAUUGCUGAUGUCAUUUACAUAUAUGUAACUGAGAGAAAAUAUGACUUUGUAUUAUUAUUAUUUUGACAUGUGUUGCUGAAUUUUUUUGUUAAGAUUAGCACACCAGUCAGUAUCAUGGAAUGCCAUUUGGUUUCACAUUCUUUCUACGAUCACCUUCUGGCACAUUGGUGGUCAUAAAAUGUUGGGUUGUGAAUUUAUGAUCCAAUUUAUGAGAUACUACAGAAAUCUUGGUAGACAUGAAACUAGGAGAAUGGAUGAUAUAAGGUGGAAAUUAUAGAAUAUGAAAAUUAUUUAAAAUGAUAAAUAUUUGGUUCGUGUACAUGAUGGUUGAGAAGUUCUUCCAUUGAAAAUGGUAAUCCAGUUCUUGCAUCUCCAUAUAUUUGUAAAAGUAACUACCAUUUUAUUGAAAAAAUAGAUGGACGCAGCAACGCGCGUCAAUCAUGAUCUAGUGGUGUUGUACAACCCGACACUGACCUCGCGUGUCGUCUCCGUUUCUCUACAUCACUGUGGCAUUUAAGUCAUUGAAAAUUACCCCAGCUAUUUGUCCGCGCGCCACUGUGGUAUUUAAUAUGGCAUGGUGAGUUCGAGCUCCUAGUGGACAUAUUGAAUACAACAUCGAAGCGGGUCAUGUACCAUAUUGCCCAACGCCGACAAGUGUCCGUUGCGGCAGUAUUACGUGAGAUACCCCUAAAUAUUCAAUUCCGUAGAUCUUUAAUCGGUGAUAGAUGGACUAGCUGGUUGCAUCUUGUUAGAAGGUUGAUGGAGGUUAACCUUUCUGACAGGGCUGAUCGAAUUUCUUGGAGUUUAACCUCGAAUGGGGUGUUUACGGUUAAAUUCAUGUAUUUAGAUCUCAUAGAUUCUGCACCUAUUCCAAAAUCAGAGCAUAUUUGGAAGAUCAGAGUUCCUCUUAGAAUUAAAGUCUUCAUGUCGUUUGUCCACAAAGAAGUUAUUCUAACGAAUUAGAAUAAUCUGGCCAAGCGGAAUUGGAAGGGUAAUCCCAGAUGCAGCUUCUAUCCGAGUGUGGAGAGUAUUCAACACCUCUUUCUUGACUGUCCUAUGGCUAAACUAGUUUGGCGCUCGAUUCACAUUGCUUUUAACAUCCCUCCUCCUGAUAGUUUGAACUCGUUAUUUGGAACGUGGUUACAGGGAGUUGAUGUUCAAUUUGCUAAACCUAUUCAAGUUAGAGCAUGUGCUCUUUUGUGGGCUUUAUGGAACAGUAGAAAUGAUUUGGUUUUUAAUAGACUACGUGAUAUUCACUUUCUGCAGGUUAUCUUCAGAACUACCGCACUGAUCCACACAUGGUCGUUACUCAAUCCUGUGGCAGCCAGGGAGCCUAUGGUUACUGGGUGUGUCCGUUGGGAGAUGGUAGCACAUGGUAUCUUCAACCGGUUUGGAUGACGUCAUAUUAAUAGAAUAAGCGUAUAAGCAUCUAGAUCUUUUCGUCACCUCCGGCCUGGGCGCGAAGUUCGCCUUGUAUCUUCUAUUUUAGCACUAUGUUGCUUUUAUUUUGUUUGUACUCUGAUGAGAUUUGAUUUUGAAUAAUAUAUGGCUGCAUGCAUCACUUGAUGCAUAGGCCGGGGCUAAGCCUCCUUUUCGAAAAAAAACAUCGAAGCGGGUCUAUCUGCCACAUAAAACAGAACAAGAAAAACCGUCUCGUUCUUGCCACUUUGUCUCUCUGCUUUUAAAAUGUAAGGCGUAUUCUUUUUAUUAAGAAGAUAAUUAUUUGACGUAUAGCGCUCUACUAUGCAAUUCGGGCAAUCUAUGCAAAGUUCUCAUAGUACUACAUACCAGUGUCACUCGAUCAUCACACCGUCCAUUUUUAUACCAGGGUCCGUGCAAGUGAAUUUCCUUUUAAUAUGCAUAGUGAGUUCGAGCUCCUGGCUGACAUACUGAAUAUAGCAUCGAAGCGGGUCUAUCCGCCACAUAAAACAAAACAAGAAAAACCGUCUCGUUCUCGCCACUUUGUCUCUCUGCUUUCAAAAUGUAAGGCGUAUUUUUUUAUUAAGAAGAUAAUUAUUUGACGGAUAGCACUCUACUGUGCAAUUCAGGCAAUCCAUGCAAAGUUCUGAUAGUACUACAUACCAGUGUCACUCUAUCAUCACACCGUUCAUUUUUAUAUCAGAGUUCGUGCAAGUGAAUUUCUUUUUUUGUUUCUCUCAAAUAAUUGAACACUAGAAUUCGAAACUUUGCAGAUCAACAUCGCACAAGUACCACCAUGCGCAGAUUUGUUUGGUGCAAUAUAAAAAAGGGCAGCCCGGUGCACGUCUUGCAGGUCUCGCUUGCGCAAGGUCCAACCACUUUGGAUCCUUGGGCGCAAUGUGAAUUUUCAAAAAUUACAACUCAUUCAGAAUUUGAAAUUUGACAAAUUUAUGUUUCACAAAAAAAUGGAAACAUUAUAUUUCAAUGAAUGGCACUUGUGUAUAGUUGGCCUGUAAAGUUUCAAGGUCAAAUGUUCUCUUGUUUGAAACAGCAAAAAAUAAAAAUUUGUAUACAAGGAUAGCUCGGAUCUUGACUCAAACUGAAAUGUUUAGAUAGAGGCUACAGAGGUAUUGUAGCCUGGAGGUUCUAGGCUUGAGAUCUUGCGCGUUGAGUUGGUCAGCAGGACCAGUGCAUAACACAAGGCCAAAAUACAGCAACAAGCGAUUUUAUUCCUGCUGUAAGUAAUAUGCACACGCCUUACCAUGUAUGCAUUCAUGUGUUGUGCCUUCUCAUAUACUCAUUUUAUUUUCUUCUAUCAAUAAAUGAUACGUAAUCUUUGUGUAUUCGUAAAAGAAAAAUCGUGCUUUAAGGGUCACACAUGGCGUGCAUGCAUUUUUCAUAUGAAGUGAAGAGCAAGAGAAACAAGGCAUGACUAGCACGAAAGAAGUUGCACGCAAAGUGGAGUAAUAUACACAUGACUACAUACAUGGGCAUUGGAUGAUCUUGGCAAGCACGUUGGCUCGUCUAUAUAUAGUCCAUCACAACGUGUGGGAGCUAUAGCUUUAAGUAGAAGGCAAAGCCUUAUGCUUAAUGGAUUAUUUAGCUAAAUAUACUAUCUAUGAGAUAUAGGAGUGAAACAAACAAUCCAGAAGCUUUCCUAUACCGGCACGUCCCGACAGUAUGUUCAUCAACUUCUCCAACUCUCCCGUGUCUAGCCUCACCGUCAGCGAACCUCACCGUUGCCCCGAGCAAACAAACAGCAGCAAUAUUUCUCCUUGGAAACCGGUCUUGCUACUGUGAAAUUCAUUUUGGAGGUGAUGUGAUCUGAUAGCGCAAUAAGAACAAUUCACAAGAGUAACUGUAUCACAUAGUCAUAGAUCCAAUCACUAUUUAUUUUGGAGGUGUCAAUGCAAGUUAGUCCUAAAACUAUAUAUAAGUUAUUCACCGAGAGCCCUAACUUGCCCAUAGACCAGUGUUCACCUGCUUAUGUGGCGCUUAACUGUUGCCAUGUAGACAUACUCUAUGCAAAAUGGCCCUUCCAAAUACACAAUGGAAAAUUCACUCUCAAAAAUGUCGUACAACCACAUUGAAGAGGUGGGAUGUUUUUAUUUCUUAAGAAAAAAAGACAAAUCAUCACAAUACACACAACCAUUCGUAGCGAGAUACUUGUCACUGGUGCACUUGGGCACCACUUCAUCCAGCACGGUUGUGGCGGCACCCCCCCCCCCCCUUAACCGAAGAGCUUCCUUGGCCACCUUCUGUAGCGCCGCCACCUUAGCUCUUACCUCCGCACAUUUUCCAUGGCCAACCAUCACUUCCCUCACUGUCGCGGCGACCUCCUCCUUUGCCAUGGCCAAACAUCACUUCCCUCACUACCGAGGGCUCUCAUAUGGCUACCACAACUCCUUCUGUCAGCAUCACGGUGUUCUGUCGUUGCUCGGCGUAGAGCGGCCACGGCACCAUGGGCACGCCAUGCACCAGGCUCUCUAAGACGGAAUUCCACCGGGAGUGCAGCAAUAAGCCUCCCGUGGCUUCAUGAGCCAACACCUUCGUCUCCGUCGGCCACGAUGGUCCGAGGAGGCCGACGUCCUAGCUUGGUCCUCUCGACGAACCCCUUUGGCACGCUCGGCAACCUCUCGAUGUCCUUGGCCAGGCGCUUGGCAAGCUCGGCGAGCGGGAUCAGGUGUCCUAAAUCGGGCGUCACCAGCAUCGGCACGUGCGGUGGCCGACGAGCCUCAGUCGUGCCGUCGCCUCCAUGGUUCCGUCGUUCGCCCCUCCGUUUCACCAUGGGAUUAUAUACGGUGGUUUUGGUUAGACUCGUGUCUGUGUGUGUUGUUUUGGGGGUUUAUAAGUAAGCAAAAGGAAGAUGAAAUUAAUUUAUCCAACAGCAUGCAUGCAGAUUCAUACCGACAUGACUUCAUGCUUUGCCUUGACAGUACAAAUGGAUAGAUCUAACGUACUACUCCUUCCGUCUUAAAAAUAAGUGUCUCAAACAUAGUAUAACUUUGUACUAAAGCUAAUUUUAUACUAGAGCUAGUACAAAGUUAAGAUAUUUAUUUUAGGACGGAUGAAGUAAAAAAAUAAGGCUGGAUAAUGGAGACCUCAUAUAUGCUUCUGCCUACCUCAGACGGACCUCAUAUAAUGCAAAAAUAUAAAAAAAAAAAUGAGAAAAUGAAAUGGAGAUGCGGGGGAUCGAACCCCGUGCCUCCCGCAUGCAAAGCGGGCGCUCUACCAUUUGAGCUACAUCCCCAUCGUUGAACCGAUUCCCUUAAUUGUUUUAAUUAUCAUCAAUUGCUUGCUUAAUCACAAUGACAUGGUAGUCGGAGGAACAGACAGCAGGGUAGUACUGGCAUAGGAAUACACGCUCCCAAAUGAGUGUUGUGUGUGUGUGUGUUAUCUAGUAAAUUUUGUUCUGUCAAUUAUUACUACCAACAAUUGCCAGAAAAACACACACACACAAAAAAACAUGUGCAGUAUGAUGAUGCAUACUUGUUCAGAACAAGCAAACCAAGUAGAGUGUUUUGUACUAAAAAUUAUUCGCUUGUGUAUUCUUGUGGUAUGGUAGUCCAUGCUGUCAAAACAAGCAAAACAAAACCUGCUUCUGUCAGUUCUAUCUUAUUCACAGGGAAGAGAUGAUGGAUUCAUUUGGAACCAUGUUUUCCAAAUGUCCACACAGAAACAACAAAUGUUCAAUGUAAAUUUAUACGAAAGCAAAGGGGAUGGAAGUUUAUCAUGUUUUCUGAAGCAAAAGCUCACUGUGAACCUUCUUGAGCAGUUUCUGUUUUGCCAAGGUGUUCGUACUGACUGCAGUCAGCUCUUAUCUCCUUGAAGGUUGUUAUCAACGGUAACAAAAAAAUUCUUAAUCGUUGAAUCAGCCUAUUAAGGAAAUCAGUAACUCGUAGCUGCUCGCUUGACUAGGGAGUAGCGAUUAAUCGUUGAAUCAGCCUAUUAACUAGACUAAUUGGUCGACCAUUAAUCGGUGGAAUUAUAAACUCAAUAGAAGCAAACUGUGUAUGGAGAAAAAAAUCUACAUUGCAAAUAUGAAGCAAAUGGUACCAUUUUCUUUUCUCAAUAGAUGACAAACAUGUAUGCAAUAACAAUCAUCCAUGUGGGUGUCAAAAUCAUCAACAAACAUGUAUACACCAACAUUUUUUGGCUGAUUUCCGCCUAGAAUGCAACUCCGAGUGAUGGCGUCCAUGUGACGGCGAUAGACAAAGGAAAGGUGACGGUGGCUGCGCAGGGCAUCUGAACUGGUCAGUUGAUGGAGGUGGCGGGUCACAGAGGAGGAGGGGAAGUAUCAACACACCGAGGAAGAAGAGAAAGCGGCAGCACACAAAGGAGAAGGGGAAGCGGCGGCGCGCCGAUGAGGACCUGGCCAGCCACCAUCUAUUCGAGAGGGGAUGAGAGGAGUGGGAGGGCGGAAGAAGGGCUAAACCCUAGGUAUUUAUGAAUGGGAGGGGCUCGGCAGGGCUAUGGGCCAAAUAAUUGGGCUUUGUUUGCCCACGAGUGAGGAGGCCAACAUCGAUUAAUCGGCCUGACGACUGAUUAAUCGGUCUAAUAGACCAUUUAAUCGUCCUCGCAAGUUAACAUGAUGAAUAGGUGUUAUUCGAUUCGGUCAUGCGGUGAGUAGCGUUUAACUCGCCAAUUAACUCAUUAAUCGGAUGAAUUCUUGAACAGUGGGCCCCACAAACUUUGAGGAUGUAGUGCAUCAAUUAGAAAAUCUUUCGUUGCUUUAUUUUCUGGGGAAAGUGGUUAUUGCUUCAAAAGGUUGAACUCUUUAAUAAUUUUGAAACAUAGCUUCCGGAAAGAAGUAUUUUCCGCAUUUUAAAAAAGAAAGUAUUUUCAUGUGGAGUUGCAAUCCAUGGCGUCUUUAUGAAAUACAACAAAUCUAAGCAGGUCAAUUAUUGGCUAUUGGAGGGGUGCAUAACACGAGGCCCAAAUGCAGCAGCAACCCAUUAAAUUUCUAGCAAGGCAUACAUGUUGUGCAUGCAUUCUUCAUGUAAAGAGUAAGAGAAACAACGCAUCGCUCGCACGAACCAAUUGCAUGUAUGGUGCAGGAACAUAAUCAUGACUAGGUACAUGGCCAUUUAUUAUCUAGGCAUAUGGCUCGUAUAUAUAUGUAGUCCAUCAUAAAGUGUAUUCCUUCAUGAAGUAACAAAUUAUAGCAAGUCAGCAUGCUAUAGCAAACGGAAGCAUGUAGUCAUGGCCUUAGUGGUUGACUAUGAGAUGUUCGAGUGAAACAAACAAGACAUAUGUUUUCCUAUAUGAGUAGUGCGAAAGAGGCGAUGCAUCUCCAGCCGUGCUUCACCUCGCCCAUGCAGUAACCGAGCACCAUAGCUACCAUAGUCACCACAAACAUUAAGCAUGGGACAGGUGAAUUUUCUAUGUAGAAUUGGUACCACUUACCUUGGCUUAAUGAAGUAGCCUUCUUUUCUCUCUUGUAAAAAGAACUGAAUUUUCCUUGCUUGUCUCGAAGCAUGGAAAAAAUUUAUAAUUCUAAUCUCGUCCAUUUGUGUUUGCUCAAACUAAAUGGAGCCUGAAAUCUUUUCAUCUUAUUCCUAAAAAACUAUCCUUUCAUCUUCCUUUUGUUUUGCUUGCUCAUUAUUUUUGCGUCCUUUAAAACAUGGAAUGGAAAUAAAUCUUCAUAAACAUGGCAAGCACCAACCUUUUGAUUUAUUUUUUGAAUAAAAAGACCAAGAAUUAACAAGACACAACCUCAAGGAAAAAAGAACUAAUGAGACGUAGAAUGAAAGGUAUUCCAUGAAUUGUGGCAAAAAUAGAUUCAUCGAAUAUAUUUAAUUUUACAUCGAAAUAGUUAGCUAGUGAUCAUUGGUACAAGUGCUACUUAUCCAUCGUGUGAACUUUGAAGUG
rnacentral:lncRNA from 1 species